rnacentral:lncRNA from 1 species
AUAGACCAAGUCCAAAAUACAGAGUUACCCGCACUGGCGAGUUAAGUAAGCUAUGUACAUAAACUCAGACAAAACAUCUACCUGCAAUAGGGGUGCCUCUAGCUCUAUGAGUCGGGUAGGGCUCUAGCUCGCGACGCCCUUGCCUCGAUCCAGAUCUGCGGAAGGCGCAGCAGCCAAAACCUGUGGCUCUACAAAACAAGAGUAACAACUGGGCGUGAGAACUACUGUAAAAACAAGUAGUAGGAAAUGUCAAAUCUGUCGGAAGUCCUCAGUGGGUACCGCCCAAACCAACAUCGGUCACCCACUAAGUCUACAGAAGGGAGCAAGGAUAGUAGGAAAAGCAGGAAAUACACUCUACCGCUAUCAAUCACUAUACUAUCAUACUCUACGCUAACCAAUUGUAGGAAAUGUCAAAUCUGACCCAAUUCAAUCAGGACUGUAAACAAACCCGUCCCUGGGACUGUAAAUACACCCGUCCCUACCCCGUUGCGACUAUCGGGCUCUAUCCACACUGACUGGUUCGUGGAGAGCAAGUCCAACUGGCAUGAGCGAUACCAACGCGAAAGCACAAAGCCUGACUCCGGAGUGGCACUCGUGGGCGCUACCCAACCGAGUAUGCAGCGUAUCUCUGUCGAGCUCAAUCAGGCUCUCAAUAGCCAAAAUCAAGUAACCGACUCAAACUGGUCUAACAACCAACAGGUAACGUGCCCUCGGCACAAUCUGACGCCAAAAAGGCGAGACGGGUCCACCGUCAACUCUGACGGCACCCAACAGUCCGGAACAACCUGAACGACCCUGUAAAAAUCCACUCGGCAUACCAGCAUGAGCGUAAAUGUAUUCUAAACUACCUGGAGUACUCGUCUUGAGGAUACUGCGACAGUACAAUUUUAUAACGGCUCCUAGAGCUAAAUCAGGCAGUUUAAACAGGUGACAGGUCCAAAUCGCAGGUUUUCUCCUAAUUCAAUUUCCAAGUCCAACAUGUAUAACCUACUUAAUUUAUUACCACAUGCUCCAAACUCAGAUUUGCAAUCUAUCAAAUAAUCCAUGAAUUCGAGCUAGAAUAGAUUAUCAAAAAUCGAGAUCUAUACAUGUCGACGAUUAUGAACUUAGGAGUCAAAACCGAUGUAACCCACCUCGCACGCUAAUCCUCGGCAGCACGGAACUCUCACGGCGGCGAAACAACCUGCUGGAUCGACCAAAAACACCCAAGUCUCGAAAUCGAGCUAACUCCAAACUAAAAACACCAAAAAUCCUCAAUUCAGUCCAAAAUCCACAGCAGCAGAGAAGAGAAGGAUUUUGACCAAGAUAACUUUUACUAAAAUUCGCAAGUGAGGGCUUCGUGGAUUCCUCUCGAAGUCCCGAAUCCAACGAAUCAAGUCUCGUCGCAAUCCGAUGCUCCUACGUCGAGAACAAGCUGAAAUACUAACAGUCGACGACAAGAUCCUGCGAAUCAGCACUUAAGCUCGAAUUAAUGAUACCCGAGGUAUGCGGAGCAAUUCCACAGAACACUCACCUCAAUAGAUCCUCAAGAGUCGGCGCAAUGUCGAGGAUGACGGAAAUCCACGCUCGCCCGAGCUCCUCACAGCACCAAGACGACACAACGUGCGCCCGAACGGCUCCGCGGCACCACGUCGGCGACGAAACUCCACCCGAGCUCCACCCUAGCCUACGAUCGGUUUGAGAGUGAGAGAGAGGAAGUAGCAGCAGAGGAACUCCCUCUCUCUGUCCUCACAAGGCUAAAUAGAGAGAGGGAGGACUGGUGAUACAAACGAGGGAGAGAAAAGACCAAAACACCCUCUCACCUACCCUGGUGUACCGGUACAGGAGGCCAACCCGAGAGCAGUACGCGCUCAACCAGUAUAGUGUACCGGUACACCUCGCUGGCUGUACCGAUACAGCAAGCAGGAAAAUCUGCUAUUUCGCAGAUUUCUUCGCUGAAGGCUGCCCUCGCGUCGCACGAAGUCCGUUUUGCGUCUAUUUGACGCCAACGCGACUCGGACUUGUCCCGACACUCUCUAGAGCUGUCGACAAACCUCCAUAGUCAAACACCAGGGAUCUCACAGUGAGUGACUAGCCAAGAAGGCUCAGCGACUCAACAAAUGCUCACGAGGCACCGUCGGAAGAAUUCCAAACUAAAAUCGCAUUCCGUCGGCAGAUUUUGUCGACAAACGCACCGAAAAUGCAUUUCCGAUCUCCACAAGGGCUUGGGCCUUGGACAAUCCGUCCAGAGGUUACCCACAACCCACACAUCCUGUCAAUAGCAGCCACAACGAACCAAGAUGCAUAAAAGCCCUCCCGAUCGUGUUAUUUCAUGCGAUUUCCGGGCUUUUAUGGUCCGACCGUUCAAUCCGAUAACCUUUCAGUUCAGCUGAGACACCUGCUGAUAGGUCUCGGCGUGCCGGAGGCCGUGCUCACCUUUCGGAGCACUGCCGGCCACUAAGGCGGGCGCACGAGCGAUGCGAAGAUCUGUGAAACAGCGCGCACAGUGCCAAAAUCGAGUCUAAUACACCAACCAGGCACCUUUAACCCUGACGGAGGUGAGCACGAUGUUCAGCACGAAUCCUAGAUCAUCGUGCUCACUUCCCGGGGUGUCCGGGAGUCAUCGGAUCACCAGAAAGGUGACCGGAACCCUCAAACAGUGCGCUACAGACUAAUUUACUGCUUACCAGACCCGAGGGAGCUAGGGUUGGUCGUCGGCGGCCGGACGACGGGCGCUCCGGUCGGGGAAUGGUGCGGCCGGUCGGAGAGGUCCGGGGCAGGCGCUGGCCGGCGGCGAGAGGCGGCUGGAGGCGCGGCGGCUGCGAUCCAAUCCGUCAAGCUACUCUCGGGUUCAAGGGCGCCAGCGGCAAGGCGACGGCCGGAGGAGCUCGGGGCGACGGCGAUUCAUCGUCGGAGGCCGAGGGAGUGGUGGUGCGCCCCACUGUGGGCGGCGGCGACGCACGGUNUGGUGGGGUCUGGGGCACCCGCUGGCCGGCGGCGGAAGGUGGCCGGUGGCACGGCGGCGGAGAUCAAGUCCGUCAAGUUCCUCUCGGGUUCAAGGGCGCCGGCGGUGAAGCGGCGGCCGGAGGAGCCCGGGGCGGCGAUGGUUCGUCGCCGGAGGUCGAGGAGGAGGUUGAGCUCGCGACGAUGGACGGCGGCGUCGUGCGGUGGCCGAGGUGGCUCGGCCUCAGCCCGCACAAAUUCUGGGCGGCCGCAGAGUAGAAGAGCGGCGGCCAGCGGCGCACGGGGACGGUGGGGAGGCGCGCGGGAGGUAGCCGGAGGUCGCCGGAGGCUGAGGGAUGACAGCGCGGCCGAUCUGGAGUGGCGGCGGCGCGCGGGCCUCGAGCCCACCCGUGCUCGGUCUGGGCUGACUGAGGGUGCCCGCAGGGAGCAGGGGCGGCGCCGGCGGCCCACGGGGAUGGCCGGGGCCGGCUGGGGAGAUGCCGGAGAUAGGUCUCGGCCAGGGGACGAAAGAUCUCGGGGUUUUUACGCUUCCCCGAGGUCAACACCGAGAAGAAGGCAAGGUGGAAGGAGGGCGUGCACACAGGCAAGGUAGAGAGGUUCCGCGACGGCUAGGGUAGCUGGGUGGACUUGGGUAGCAAAAGGGUCAAGAAAACCCUAGCUGCCAUAUUUAUACUAAAUGUUCUAUUUGCCGAAAACCCCUCUAAAGCAUAAUAUUUACAGUCCAGCCCCUGCCAAUGUGUGUAACUUGCGCGCACGUACCCCAACGUUCGAAAUCACGCGAAACGACGCAUAAAAUAUUGGACAUUUUCGCGAUUUAACCAUUUUGCCCAUUUGACCUCUCAGCGAACAUCUCGCUUUUUCCAAAGAUCCGUCGGUCGGAUUUCCGAUUGGAUCACGCCAGCGCAUUCAGCAUGACCGGGGCAUCGAAUCUAGUAUUUCGUUUCAUCUGAUUUGAUCUCCGGUUCACGACGAAACCCACCCUCAAUGAGUCCACCAAAUAGCCACAUAUUUAUAUAUGUAAAACCGAUCAAACCCCCUUUUCUUGACAACCGUGCAUCAGAACCCAAUUCCGUCAGUGCCAUUGGGUCCAGAAUAGUCGAGCCGUUCGAAACGAGCUAUUGGAUCGCUAUGAACGGAGUCCGAUACAUGCCGAAAGCCAACUCUACUCCGUAGCUUCUCCGAAAAAUCGGAGUUACUAUUCACUUAAGUGAAAAUUAAAGAUCGCGUAACUUCUCCGUUCUAGCUCAUUUUCUCCUAAAACUUGACAAGUGCUUAUGUAAUUAAAUUACACACAUAAACAUCGUCAACGGAGAGUUUAGUUGUAUUGUCAAAAUCUUAGUCCUUACACGAAUGUUGUCCGAUUUCUCGUUCAUAGCCCCACCAACGACGAGCUGCAAUCAAUAGCCAAUAGAUUUUGUGGAGAAAAUUGGAAAAAGAUUAUUUUUUCUAAAUUUUUGGAGAUUAUGGCUCAUCUUAUGAAGGUAUGACUUUUUUUUCUAAGAGAUAGGUAGCAUACUACCCGCUUUGUUUAUUUCAUUUAGAAAUAAACUUAGCUAGAAAUGUGAAUCAAUUAGGAUUCGAACUUGAGACCUCAGGUACCAAUCACCAAGCUCUUUGCCACUUGUGCUAGGGACGGUCGGUUAUGAAGGUAUGAUUUUCAUGCUGGAAAUCCAUUUUCUUUCUUUUUCUUCUUCUCCUUCUUCUUAUAAUUAUUUGUUCUUCUUCUUCUUCUUCUUCUUCUUCUUCUUCUUCGUUUCCUACUGUCUGCCGCGAACGAACCGGCCCUGCCGUAGGUUGUUUCUGAAGCGAGUGGUCAUUCAUAGUAGAGAUAAAAUUUAUUUAUAUUUUAUUUUGAAAUCAGGAUUAUAGGUUCAUGGCUUCCAACAAACUCAAAAAUCUGCUGUUAAUUACCCCACACUUUCGGUGUUAAGGAACCCUCGAUUAAGAGACCAAAUAUAAAUGCUGAUAAUAAAAGAGACAAAACAGGCAAAUAAAAUUUUAUUGAUAUGAUUUGCCGUGUACAUGGCUUAAGCAGGGGCAUACCCCCACUGUACAUGAAUUUAGCGACUAGAAGGUCGAUUGAAGUUUUGAUGCUCAGUUUAAUGACAUGACGGUCGGUUUAAGUUUGGUGCUCAGUUUAAUGACAUGGCGGUCGAGUUCACCUUGGUUGUAUAUUCCAAGGUGGAGAUGUGACCAAACCCCAAGUAUAUGUAUUGAGGUAGAUUGGAUUUGAUAUUAUCCGAAAAUAGAGAAUGGCUAAUUCCUGAGUGUAUGGGUCAGGAUUAACCGAGUUUAAUAUAUUUUCACUCUAGUUAUAUGUGCUAGAGUGAAGAUCUAACUAAGCCCUAAGGUAUUGCGUUAGGGUUCAUCGGAUUUGAUUCGUAUGAGCUCCAAGUAUAUGUAUUAGAGCUCGAUCGGGUAUGGAUUUCACUCUAGAUAUAUGUGCUAGAGCAAAAGGCUGACUAGACCCGAAGUAUAUGGGUUAGGACUAGUCGAGCAUGGUUUGACUUCCAUUCUAGGUAUAUGUGCUAGAGCAAAAGACUGACUAGACCCUAAGUAUAUGUGUUAGGGUUAGUUGAGCAUGGUUUGACUUUCACUCUAGGUAUAUGUGCUAGAGCAAAAGGCUGACUAGACCCUAAGUAUAUGGGCUAGGGUUAGUCGACCAUGGUUUGACUUCCACUCUAGGUAUAUGUGCUAGAGCAAAAAACUGACUAGACCCUAAGUAUAUGGGUUAGGGUUAGUCGGAUGAACUCUAAGUAUAUGUGUCAGAGUUUGAAAAAACUUGAUAUCAUUUGACUGAAUUCUAAGUAUAUGGCUUAGAAUUGUGUCGAUUUGGAGAUGUUUUGCCUUAGUUAUAUGUGCUAAGGCGAUUGACUUAGCCCUAAGUAUAUAUAUUAGAGGUAGUCGAUAUUUAAUUUUCACUCUAGGUAUAUGAACCAGAGUAGAAAAGGUUCAUGAUGAACUUGGAUUUAGUUUAAUGACUUUACGGUCGUUUGAUUUUGGGUUUAGUUUAACGACUUUACGGUCGUUUGAAUUUGGGUUUAGUUUAACGAUGUUUCGGUCGUUUGUAUUUGGGUUUAGUUUAAUGACGUUUCGAUCGUUUGAAUUUGAAAUUAGUUUAACGACUUUACGGUCGUAUGAAUUUAGAUUUAGUUUAACGACUUUACGGUCGUUUGAAUUUGGGUUUAGUUUAACGACUUUUCGGUCGUUUGAAUUUGGGUUUAGUUUAACGACGUUUCGGUCGUUUGAAUUUGGGUUUAGUUUCACGACUUUCGGUCGUUUGAAUUUGGGUUUAGUUUCACGACUUUUCGGUCGUUUGAAUUUGGGUUUAGUUUCACGACUUUUCGGUCGUUUGAAUUUGGAUUUAAUUUAACGACGUUUCGAUCGUUUGAAUUUGGGUUUAGUUUAACGACGUUUCGGUCGUCGUUUGAAUUUGGGUUUAGUUUAACGACUUUUCGGUCGUUUGGAUUUGGGUUUAGUUUAGCGACUUUUCGGUCGUCGUUUGAAUUUGGGUUUAGUUUAACGACUUUUCGAUCGUUUGGAUNAAGUAUUUGGUAUUUAGUUCAAGCACUUGGUUUGUGAUGCUUGGUAUGGGUUCAAGUACUUGGUAUUUGGUUCAAGUACUUAGUAUUUGGUUCAAGUACUUGGUACUUGGUUCGAUUCAAAGGUAUAGGUUCAAGUACUUGGUAUUUGGUUUAGGGUGUAUAGAUUGGAGUACUUGGUACUUAGUUCAAGUACUUGGUACUUGGUUCAGGUACUUGGUAUAGGUUCAAGUACUUGGUUUAGGGUGUAUGGAUUAGAGUACUUGGUGGUGGGUUCAAGUAUUUGGUACUCGGUUCAGAUAUUUGGUUUAAGUAUGUGGGUUGUUUAGUUUAGCGACUUUGCGGUCGUAGGUUUUGGGUUUAGUUUAACGACUUUACGGUCGACUGAAAUUGAGAUGUUCAUGAAACUGAUUCAUGAAAUUAAUUCAUGUUAGGAGCCCAUUUGUAAAGUCCAUUGAAUUAAUUGAUAAAAUUAAUUCAUGAUAGGGGCCAUUUAGAGAACCCAUUGAAAAAAAUUAAUUUAUGAUAAUGAGCCAUUGGGAAGGCCAAUUAGUUUAUGAAAUUAAUUUAUGACAAGGAGGGCCCAUAAAAUUAAUUCAUAGAAUUAAUUUAUGAUAACGAGUCCAGUUGAAAAGCCCAAGAAAUUAAUUCAUACAAAGGGGACCGUUUGGCAACCCAUUAAUUUAUGGAAUUAAUUCAUAAUAAAGGGGGCCCAUUUAGAAAGCCCAAGAACUCGGUUUGGGUUAGAGGUAUUUGGAUGACAUAGAUUUAGUAGAUUUGGUUGGGUUUUAUUUGUGGACUUUGAAUUUUGGGUCUCAUUUGUAGACUUCGGGUUUUGGAAUUUUAUUUGUGGACUUUGAAAUUUUUGGGAUUUUAUUUGUGGACUUUUGGAUUUUUGGGAUUUUAUUUGUGGACUUUGGGAUUUUGGGGAUUUUAUUUGUGGACUUUGGGUUAAGAAAUUCAUUCACAUGAAUUUUUUUAUUGGUUUUGGACCCAAAUCUGCAUGUGGGUUGAGCUAGACUGCGGGCUUUGCAUGUUCUGGGCCCGAAUCCGUAUGUGGGCUAGAUUUUUAUUGAUUUUGCAUUCAAAAUUUGCACGUGGGCUGGAUUUCGGGCACUACAUGUUUUGGGCUUUGGACCCGAAUUUGCAUGUGGACUGAAAUCAGUCUUGCACUUUACAUGGUCUGGGCCUUGGGCUCGAAUUUGUAUGUGGGCUCUGCAUUAUUUUUUUUUUUGACAGCUUAUGAAGUUGAGCCCGUAAUGGAUUGAACCAUUUUCAAAAUAAAGCAAGUCCAAUUCUUCAAAUUCUUUUCUUUUCUUUUUUUCUUUCUUUUAAGAUUGCUUGUNAAUAACUUUGCAAUUCAAGUAGUUUGAUAAGUUAAUAAUAAAUUUGUCAUUUCAAAUAUAAAGUAUAUAAUAUUAUAAAUCUAGAUAAGUUAGUGGCAAACCCAUCUGAACCUAAUUUUGUUCAGAUGGCAAGCGGGAAAGGGCUUAGUAAUUUUGUUAAAAUUCAGAAGAGUCCUAAACUUAAGUUUCUAAUUUUUUUUAAAAAACACAAAGAUGAAGAUGAUAGUUAAUCGGUGGAGAGAGAGAGCGAGAGAGAGAGAGAGAGAGAGAGAGAGAGUUGGGUUUGAGUUGCAACCCAACUCUCUCUCUCUCUCUCUGUACGACACUGAGAAACACAGAGAGAGGGAGGGUUGCUCUCCUCUUUUUCUUUCUUUUUUUUUUUUUUGCUGUUUCUUUUUUUUUUUAUAUUCAUUGUUUUUGUCCAAAUAAACGAAAUUGAUCACGUCGAGCCAUACAAUUGAAUCGAACAAAGAUGGCGAAUCGAAAAGAACCUGACCAUUUUUUAUUAUCAUUUAUUUUAUCACGUUUUGUUCAAGUACGCGGAGUUUAAUCGUGUCGAGCCUAUCACGAAGAUGGCCGCUCGAUUAACCAUUUUGAUCAUAUCGAGCCUAUCACGAAGAUGGCUACACGGUUUACGCUUUCGACCAUGUCGAGCUUAUCGCGAAGAUGGCCACACAGUUUUCGUAACAAAAUAAAUGAUGCUCGAUCACCUAUUUUGACCAUGUCGAGCCUAUCACGAAGAUGGCCGCACGGUUUACGUAAUAAAAUAUCCGGUUCGAUCAAUCAUUUUGACCAUGUCAAGCCUAUUACGAAGAUGGCCGCACAGUUUGGAGAUUAGCGGUGCAUACGCAAGGCGGAAGUGACGAUUUAAUAUCAAAUUUGGUCGGUUCGAAACCUAUCACGAAGAUGGUCGGGUUGAUCAAAUUGACAAAAAAACGCACUUACGCUAUGCGUAUGCAUGCAUUUCUCCUAUUGUUGUAGAAGUCGUCGUGAUUGUCGUUAGGGAAGUCGCCAAGAUCGCCGCCGCCGUUGUCGUUGUCGUCGUCAUCGUCGUCAGAAUCGUCGUAACCGUCGUCAUCGUGAUCGUGCUUCAACACUUUUCUCCUUUUUUUUUUUUUUUUUUUUUUUUUUUUUUUUUUUUUUUUUUUUUUUUUUUUUUUUUUUUUUUUUUUUUUUUUUUUUUUUUUUUUUUUUUUUUUUUUUUUUUUUUUUUUUUUUUUUUUUUUUUUUUUUUUUUUUUUUUUUUUUUUUUUUUUUUUUUUUUUUUUUUUUUUUUUUUUUUUUUUUUUUUUUUUUUUUUUUUUUUUUUUUUUUUUUUUUUUUUUUUUUUUUUUUUUUUUUUUUUUUUUUUUUUUUUUUUUUUUUUUUUUUUUUUUUUUUUUUUUUUUUUUUUUUUUUUUUUUUUUUUUUUUUUUUUUUUUUUUUUUUUUUUUUUUUUUUUUUUUUUUUUUUUUUUUUUUUUUUUUUUUUUUUUUUUUUUUUUUUUUUUUUUUUUUUUUUUUUUUUUUUUUUUUUUUUUUUUUUUUUUUUUUUUUUUUUUUUUUUUUUUUUUUUUUUUUUUUUUUUUUUUUUUUUUUUUUUUUUUUUUUUUUUUUUUUUUUUUUUUUUUUUUUUUUUUUUUUUUUUUUUUUUUUUUGCUACCAACGCGUGGAGGGAGGAGAGGGGUGAAAUCCCCCUGUCCACUAGUAGGAAGGAAUCAACAAAAGGAAAAAAAAAAAUUGUUUCCUUCUUCUUUUUUAAUACUUUUUUUUUGAAGAAUCCAAAUAAGCUAGGAUUAUAUUGGAUUCUUUCUUUUCUUUUUUUUGAAUCUUUCCUUUCUCUAUUUCCUUCCUUCUAUAUUCCCAAAUUGAAUUUCAAAUUUCAAAAUUUUUUUACCCCAACACCUGCUACUUUAGAUAACUAAAACUCAUGAAGAACUAUUCACAGGGGAUUCAAUACUCUAUUUGCAACGCAACAAAAAGGACAAUAAAAUAUAUUUCAAAGUUAAGACUCUUGAUAACCAUAAUGAAGAUAUUCAUCGUAAAAAGAAAUAAGAGCCUAUUUUAUCAUCUCCCUCUGAUACCCUCCUCCAGGUAGCUGCAUCAUCCCCCAUCACUAUUUUCCUUUUACCCUCACAUUCUUGAUCAUUCUUUUGAGAUAAACCAAAAUUUUCUGUUGAAUUAAUUAAUUUAGAUUUCGUGACUCAUCGGCGACAAAUACGGUGAAGUAUAUGACGAACGACAAGCAUGAUGAACUUAAAAAGGCCUUUGCAUUCUUCGACCUCGAUACGGAUGGUGCAAUACAUGCACCGUUCAAUCUACCUCCUAAAACAUUUCUUCAAUUCUGUUUAAAACCUCUUAAUGUUCUAUGUAGGAUUUAUGUUUAAAUUUGUUUAAACAUUUUAUUUGUUCUAUGUAGGAUUAAUCAAUGAUAAACAACUAGCGAAUGUUGUCCGAUUUAUCAGGCGUGACCCUACCAACGACGAGCUACAAUCAUUAGCUAAUAGAAUUAGUGGAGAAAAAUUGAAAAAAGUUUAGUUUUUCUAAAUUUUUGGAAAUUAUGCUUAUCUUAUGAAGGUAUGGUUUUGAUUGCUGGAAAACCAUUUUCUUUCCUUGUCUUCUUCUCCUCCUUCUUCUUCUUCACCUCCCUCUUCUUCUUUUUAUUAUUGUUCUUAUUCUUAUUUUUCUUCUUCUUCUUCUUCUUUUUCUUCUUCUCUUUCUUCUUCUUCUUCUUCUUAUUUGUUCUAUGUAGGAUAAAUCAAUGAUAAACAACAUGCGAAUGUUGUCCAAUUUCUCAGACAUAGCCCUACCAACGAUGAGCUGCAAUCAUUAGCUAAUAGAAUUUGUGGAGAAAAUUGGAAAAUGAUUAGUUUUUCAAAAUUUUUGAAAAGUAUUGCUCAUCUUAUGAAGGUAUGGUAUUGAUUGCUGGAAAUCCAUUUUCUUUCUUUUUCUCCUCCUCCUCAUUAUUAUUGUUUUGAUUCUGCUUCUUCUUUAUUUCCUACUACUUCAGAUAACUGACACUCAUGAGGAGCUCUUCAAGGGGGAUUCAAUACUCUGCUUGCAAUGCAACAUGAAAGGUAAUAAAAAAUAUUUCAAGGUUAAGAGUCUUGAAAACCAUAACGAUGAUGUUCAUCAAAAAAUAAAAAAAGAGCCCAUUUAACUAUCUCUCUUUGAUACCCUCCUCUAGGUAGCUGGAUCAUUCUCGACCAUCAUUUUCCUUUUACACUCAUAUUCUUGAUCAUUCUUUUGAGAUAAACGAAAUUUUUCUGCUGAAUUAAUUUAUUUAGAAUUCAUGGACUUAUCGGCGACAAAUACGGUGAAGUAUAUGACCAACGACGAGCAUGAUGAACUCGAAAAGACCUUUGCAUUCUUCGACCUCCAUACGGAGGGUGCGUUAUAUGCACCCUUCAAUUUAUCUUCUAAAAUAUUUCUUCAAUUCUGUUUAAAACCUCUUAUUGUUCUAUGUAGGAUUAUUUUUGAAAUUUGUUUAAAUAUUUUCUUGUUCUAUGUAGAAUUAAUCAAUAAUACGAAUGUUGUCCGAUUUCCCGGACAUAGCCCAACCGACAAAGAGCUGCAAUCAUUAGCCAAUAGAAUUUGUGGAGAAAAUUAGAAAAAGAUUAGUUUUUUUCUAAAUUUUUGAAAAUUAUAUCUCAUCUUAUGAAGAUAUGAUUUUGAUUGUUAGAAAUCCUUUUUUUUUUUCCUUUUUGCUUCUUCUUCUCCUCCUUCUUUUUCUUCUUAUUAUUAUCGUUCUUCUUCUUCUUCGUUUCCUGCUACUUCAGAUAACUGACACUCAUGAGAAGCUCUUCAAUGGGGAUUCAAUACUCUAUUUGCAAUGUAACGAGAAGGACAAUAAAAAAUAUUUCAAGGUUAAGAGUCUUGAACGCCAUAACGAAGAUGUUCACCGCAAAAAGAAAAAAGAGCUUAUUUAACCAUCUCUCUCUGAUACCCUCCUCCACGUAGCUGGAUCAUCCCGCACCACCAUUCUCCUUUUACCCUCAUAUUCUUAAUCAUUCUUUUGAGAUAAACCAAAAUUUUCUACUAAAUUAAUUUCGUGACUCAUCGGCGAUAGAUACGACGAAGUGUAUGACGAACGACGAGCAUGAUGAACUCGAAAAGGCCUUUGCAUUCUUCGACCUCGAUACGGAUGGUGCAGUACAUGCAAUAAAUUUAUCUUCUAAAAAUAUUUAUUCAAUUCUGUUUAAACCUUUUAUUGUUCUACGCAGGAUUAAUCUUUAAGUUUGUUUAAACAUUUAUUUGUUCUAUGUAGAUUUAAUCGAUGAUAAACAACUUGUGAAUAUUGUCCGAUUUCUCAGACAUAGCCCCACCGACGACGAGCUGCAAUCAUCAGCCAAUAGAAUUGGUGGAGAAAUUGGAAAAAGAUUAGUUUUUCUAAAUUUUUGAAAAUUAUGACUCAUCUUCAUAUAUGAUUUUGAUUGCAGGAAAUCCAUUUUCUUUCUUUUUCUUCUUCUCCUCUUUCUUAUUAUUGUCCUUAUUCUUCUUCUUCUUCUUCUUCUUCUACUUCUUCGUUUCCUGCUACUUCAAAUAACUAACACUCAUGAGGAGCUCUCCAAAGAGGGGAUUCAAUACUCUGCUUGCAAUGCAACAAGAAGGGCAAUAAAAAUUAUUUCAAGGUUAAUAGUCUUGAAAACUAUAACGAAGAUGUUCAACACAAAAAUAAAAGAAGAGCCCAUUUAACCAUCUCUCUCUGAGACACUCCUCCAGGUAGCUAUAUCAUCCCCCACCACACUUCUACUUUUACACUCAUAUUGUUGAUCAUACUUUUGAGAUAAAUCAAAAUUUUCUGCUGAAUUAGUUUAUUUAGAAUUCGUGGACUUAUCGGCGACAAAUACGGUGAAGUAUAUGACCAAGGACGAGCAUGAUGAACUCGAAAAGGCCUUUGCACUCUUCGACCUCCAUACGGAUGGUGCAAUAUAUGCACCCUUCAAUUUAUCUUCUAAAAUAUUUCUUCAAUUUUGUUUAAAACCUCUUAUUGUUCUAUGUAAGAUUAUUUUUGAAAUUUGUUUAAAUAUUUUCUUUGUUCUAUGUUGAAUUAAUCAAUAAUAAACAACUUGCGAAUGUUGCCUGAUUUCCCAGACAUAGCCCAAUCGAUGAAGAGCUGCAAUCAUUAGCCAAAAGAAUUUGUGGAGAAAAUUGAAAAAAGAUUAGUUUUUUAAAAUUUUUGAAAAUUAUGGCUCUAUCUUAUGAAGAUAUGAUUUUGAUUGCUGGGAAUCCAUUUUUUUUUCUUUUUCUUAUUCUCCUCCUCCUUAUUAUUAUUGUUGUUGUUCUUCUUCUUCUUUGUUUCCUACUACUUCAAAUAACUGACACUCAUGAGAAGCUUUUCAAUGGGGAUUCAAUACUCUAUUUGCAAUGCAACGACAAGGGCAAUAAAAAAUAUUUCAAGGUUAAGAGUCUUGAAAGCCACAACGAAGAUGUUCACCGCAAAAAAACGAAGAACCUAUUUAACCAUCUCUCUCUGAUACCCGCCUCCACGUAGCUGGAUCAUCCCACACCAUCAUUCUCCUUUUACCCUCAUAUUCUUAAUCAUUCUUUUGAGAUAAACCAAAAUUUUCUGCUGAAUUAAUUAAUUUAGAUUUCGUGAUUCAUCGGCGAGAUCUACGGUGAAGUAUAUGACGAACGACGAACAUGAUGAACUCGAAAAGGCCUUUGCAUUCUUCGACCUCAAUACAGAUGGUGCAGUACAUGCAAUGAAUUUAUCUUCUAAAAUAUUUAUUCAUUUCUAUUUAAAACCUUUUAUUAUUAUAUGUUGGAUUAAUCUUUAAAUUUGUUUAAACAUUUUAUUUGUUCUAUGUAGGUUUAAUCGAUGAUAAACAACUUGCGAAUAUUGUCCGAUUUCUCAGACAUAGCUCCAUCGACGACAAGCUGCAAUCAUUAGCUAAUAUAAUUGGUGGAGAAAAUACGUAAAAGAUUAGUUUUUCUAUACUUUUGAAAAGUAUGGCUCAUAUUAUGAAGGUAUGGUUUUGAUUGAAGGAAAUCCAUUUUCUAUCUUUUUCUUCUUCUCCUCCUUCAUCUUCUUAUUAUUGUCCUUAUUCUUCUUCUUCUUCUUCUUCCUCAUUCUUGCUACUUCAGAUAACUAACACUUAUGAGGAGCUCUUCCAAGGGGAUUCAAUGCUCUGCUUGCAAUGCAACAAGAAGGGCAAUAAAAAAUAUUUCAAUGUUACUUGUCUUGAAAACCAUAACGAAGAUGUUCAACGCAAAAAUGAAAGAAGAGCCUAUUUAACCAUCUCUCUUUGAUACACUCCUCCAGGAAGCUGGAUCAUCCCGCACCACCAUUCUACACUCAUAUUGUUGAUCAUACUUUUGAGAUAUACCAAAAUUUUUUGUUGAAUUAAUUACUUUAGAAUUUGUGGACUCAUCGGUGACAAAUAUGGCGAAGUAUAUGACAAACGACGAGCAUGAUGAACUCGAAAAGGCCUUUGCAUUCUUCAACCUCGGUACGGAUGGUGUAGUAUAUGCACCCUUCAAUUUAUCUUCUAAAAUAUUUCUUCAAUUCUAUUUAAAACCUCUUAUUGUUCUUUGUAGGAUUAAUCUCAAAUUUUGUUUUAAUAUUUUAUUUGUUCUAUGUAGAAUUAAUCGAUGAUAAACAACUUGCGAAUGUUGUCCGAUUUCUCGGACAUAGCCCCACCGACGACGAGCUACAAUCAUUAGCCAAUAGAAUUGGUGGAGAAAAUUGGAAAAAGUUUAGUUUUUCUAAAUUUUUGGAAUUUAUAGCUCCUCUUAUGAAAGUAUGGUUUUGAUUACAGAAAAUCUAUUUUCCUUCUUUUUCUUCUUCUCCUCCUUCUUCUUCUUGUUCUUAUUCUUCUUCUUCAUUUCCUGCUACUUCAGAUAACAAAAACUCAUGAGGAGCUCUUCAAGGGGGAUUCAAUACUCUGCUUGCAAUGCAACAAGGGCAAUAAAAAAUAUGUCAAGGCUAAGAGUCUUGAAAGCCAUAGCGAAGAUGUUCAACGUAAAAAGAAAGAAGAGAUCUCUUUUGAUACCCUCUUCUAGGUAGCUGGAUCAUCCCCCACCACCAUUCUCCUUUUACACUCAUAUUCUUAAUCAUUCUUUUGGGAUAAACGACAAUUUUCUGCUGAAUUAAUUAAUUUAGAAUUCAUAAAAUUAUCGGUGACAAAUAUGGCGAAGUAUAUGACAGAUGGCGAGCAUGGUGAACUGGAAAAGGCCUUUGCAUUUUUCGACCUAGGUAUGGAUGGUGCAGUAUAUGCACCCUUCAAUUUAUCUUCUAAAAUAUUUCUUCAAUUCUGUUUAAAACCUCUUAUUGUUCUAUGUUGGAUUAAUCUUGAAAUUUAUUUAAACAUUUUAUUCGUUCUAUGUAGAAUUAAUCGAUGAUAAACAACUUGCAAAUGUCAUCUGAUUUCUUGAACAUAGCCCCACCGAUGAAGAGUUGCAAUAAUUAGCCAAUAGAAUUUGUGGAGAAAAUUGAAAAAAUAUUAGUUUUUGUAAAUUUUUAGAAAUUAUGGCUCAUCUUAUAAAGAUAUGAUUUUGUUUGCUGGAAAUCUAUUUUCUUUCUUUUUCUUCUUCUCCUCCUUCUUCUCUUAUUAUUAUUAUUAUUAUUAUUAUUAUUAUUAUUAUUAUUAUUCUUUGUUUCCUGCUACUUCAGAUAACUGACACUCAUGAGAAGCUCUUCAAUGGGGAUUCAAUACUCUGCUUGCAAUGCAAAAAUAAGGGCAAUAAAAAAUAUUUCAAGGUUAAGAGUCUUGAAAGCCAUAACGAAGGUUCACCGCGAAAAGAAAGAAAAGCCCAUUUAACCAUCUCUCUCUAAUACCUUCUCCAGGUAGCUAGAUCAUCCCCACCACCAUUCUCCUUUUAUCUUCAUAUUCUUGAUCAUUCUUUUGAGAUAAACCAAAAUUUUCUGCUGAAUUAAUUAAUUUUGAAUUUGUGGACUCUUCGGCGACAAAUACGACAAAGUAUAUGACGAACAACGAAAAUGAUGAACUUGAAAAGGCCUUUUAUUCUUCGACCUCAAUAUGGAUUAUGCAUUAUAUUCACCCUUCAAUUUAUCUUCUAAAAUCUUUCUUCAAUUCAGUUUAAAUCCUCUUAUUGUUCUAUGUAGGAUUAAUCUUGAAAUUUAUUUAAACAUUUUAUUUGUUCUAUGUAGGAUUAGUCGAUGAUAAACAACUUGCGAAUGUUGUCCAAUUUCUCAGAUAUAGCCCCAACGACGAUAAGCUGCAAUCAUUAGCUAAUAGAAUUUUUGGAGAAAACUAGAAAAAGAUUAGUUUUUAUAGAUUUUUGGAAAUUAUGGCUCAUCUUUUGAAGGUAUGGUUUUGAUUGCUGGAAAUCCAUUUUCUUUCUUUUUCUUCUUGUCCUCCUUUUAAUUAUUAUUAUUGUUCUUCUUCUUCUUCGUUUCUUGGUACUUCAUAUAACUGACACUCAUGAGGAGAUCUUUAAAGGGGAUUCAACACUCUACUUGUAAUGCAACAAGAAGGGCAAUAAGAAAUAUUUGAAGGUUAAAAGUCUUGAAAGCCAUAACGAAAAUGUUCAUCGCAAAAAGAGGAACAUGUGCAAACUCUGUAGCAACGCCUUUGCGUCCAAGAUAGUGCUAGAGUUCCACGAAAUCAAGUAUCAUUGAAUGUGAAGUUGGUACCCCUGCAGAUUAGGAAUGACUUGUUCUCUUGAAGAGAUAAAAGUUCCUUUCUAUUUUGCUUCAUUUUUCUUUUAAACCUCCCUUUGGGAGUGAAACUUAGGAGGGAUUUGAAUACAAUCCAUAGAUUGGAUUAGAAGGGGGCAAUCGUCACCGUCUUGAGCUGCUCAGUCCUAUCCAUUGGAUUUCACUUAAGCCAGAUGCAUCUUGGCCGAUCAAGUUCCCUAACCGCCUUAACCGUGAGUGUCUCUGCAUUAUUUCUUUCUCCUUUGGUAAUGACCCAAUAGUCCCAUAUUGAGUGGGAAACUUGUAGCGCCCCAAUAGUUCCACAUCGGGUGAGAAACUAAUUCUGAUUAGAAUAUAUGAGACCUACAUGCUAGUAAUAGUAACUAGGCUUAAGCAUUUUGUGUUGAUGGUUUGGGCCCAACGAGUUAUUGUUACUAGCGGGUCAGGUCGUUACAAUUGGUAUCAGAGUCGAAUACUAGCCGAAAGUGUGAGAGCUAAGUGCUAUGCAGGGCAAAGUGCUACACCAACGGGUUUGGUGGGAGUCACCUCUUGAACCCGUAGGAGCCACCACUAGAAUCUCACAUCGCCUAGUAAUUCUGGUCCUGGUCUGUUUGUCUGUUAUCUGGUCUAGACCCGACGAGGAUGUCAGGGUCUAAACAGGGGAAGUUUAUAAUGCCUCAAUAGUCCCACAUCGGGUGGAAAACUAAUUCUGAUUAGAAUAUAUGAGACCUACACGCUAAUAAUAAUAACUGGGCUUAAACAUUUUAGGCCAGUGGUUUGGGUCUAACGAGUUAUUGUUGCUAGCGGAUCGGGUCGUUACACCUUUAUUACAGCAUUGCCAUUCAUCCUAACUAUAGAAAAGGGUCAGCUACUGUAAUUAUAUGUAGAAAACUUUAGCAUCAAGUGAUGCUUAUCAAUUGAUGAGAAUGCUCUACUCCUGAAGUUAUACAUACCAAGUUGACAGCACAGAUAUGUUACAUUAAAUUUGGCUAACGCUGGACCGGUAUGUGUGAUAACACAACUAAACAGUAAGUCAAUGCAAGGCCCUGGAUGAACGCAUCCAACAGAAACACAGAAGUCCGUGAUCUCGGAUUGUUCGCUCUCACAUUACACACUGCCUAAGUGAAGCAAGAUUAUUUCACUACAUAUUUCACUGUGACCCCAGAAUGCAAGUUAAUAACUCUCUUAAAAGACAAACUGAAUACUUUACAACAUUUUCCAUUAUACUUAGGAGAACAUAAUAUAUAGAAACUAUCAAAAUGAUCAUUCAAAAAGAAAGGCUUGCAUAGAAGUCCACAUUUUUCACAAAAAAAAAGCUGUAUAUUACAUGUAUACACAUCAAUUGUUUUUCACUGAGAUACAAUCAAGACUAACACGGAAAUGAGGGAGUUCCUCAAUAUUAGUGCGAUGGCGAUUCGCGAAAUGAAUUCAUCGGCUGUAUAUAUCAUCAUCUUCUGAGUCAGAAACCCCCAGCAUAGCAAGGGCUAAGUGACUUUUCACAUCAGACAUCUCCAGUAGACCGUGCAGCCUAGUACUACCAUAUCCAACAAAGCAACCAUGGCCCAUAAAGAUGGGCCAGUCGCCACCACAAUUGCCUUGACCUUGCAAUAUUGCAAUCACUUGAUCAAUGCUUGGUCUUCCGGAAUCCUCACAGCUUAAGCAAGCAGUGGCCGCAUGAACCAUCCGACUCAUCUCAUUUGAUGAAUUUGAGUCGAGCUUUAUCCUUGGGUCAAGCAAUUUCUCCAUGGCUCCUUCGCCUUGCUGCAAAAGCGGCCUAGCCUGUCAAUAAGGGAAAAAUCAGUCUAUAGUAGUGAAAAGGAAAAAAAUGACAUUAGAACUGACGAUUCAUACUACAGAGCUAGUCAAGCAAGUAGGUUAGCCCUUAAUGUAUUAUUUGUGGAAGAUUGGGAAUCAUCUUUUAAGUUGUAAUGCUGUUUCAUGACAUUAAAGGUGAAACUUUUUCCAAGUACAGAAAAAGAAUGUAAAACAUGGUGAAAACUUGGGUGCUGUAGAAACACUGACACUCUCCAUACAAUGGUGUACUAGAAGAUGAAACUUCUUUCUGAAUGAAAUCAUUGCAAGUUUAGCAUCUAAUCCAAAUCAAGACAACUAUCAGUGAAAGGGGCUUCUUUCAGCGGCUGGAAUCCUCUCUCUUCUGAGAGGUAAUCAUUGUUCAGUGGGAAUGUCAGACCCUUGCAACAUCCUCCACCAUUCCAGAAUUCUCAAAAAGAAAAGCAAACAGAUUAUUUUUUAAAAAAAUCAACAAACACAAGCGGAGACACAUUCUACGAUGCGGUAAUCAAAUUGCCUGACAGGAUAAAUAACUUGAUGGCCUUUAUAGUUCUCCAACUUUUUGGGCAUGACUAGUAGCAUGACCAUUUUGCAAGGAGCCUUCAUUUUGUGAACACUUGAGAUAAACCUUUUGAUUUCACUUAGGAAGUGUUUGGAUUAACGCAAUCAUCAUUCUAGUGAGAGUAGAAACAUAGGUUAUUCCACCAACCACAAUACUUCUGAAAAGAUCCACCAGCUAUUUCUAGCAUUCCUUGCCAACAAUUUCCCUUGGGAAUGGUCCAAAGUCACCUUUUGGGGAAAGAACCAAACAGUAUUCCAUAACUAGGCAGCAGCUCAGACCAAUAUUUUCUCUCUUGCUGUACUUUAUUUACAAGCACAUUACAAUUCCAUCAAUCCAAGCAUCCCCUUAUGGGAUGCAGAAAAUACUGCCCUCUAGUUAGCUAGAUCACCAAUUCAGAUGCAGGCUAAAGGGUUCCAUAAUCUACUUCAGAAACGUCAGACCGUAAAUUAAGAUCACUAAUCAGAAAGGAUGCAUAGUUCUUCAUUGUUUUGCCAAGCUUGGAGCGCACAACCAAUGGCUACCCAAUAAGAUAAUUGUACAUUAUUCAAGUAUUGACUUGUAAGACUGAUAGCAAAGCAAAUGCAAGAAAGGACGUUUGCACAAUUGAGACAAUCAACAACACUAGAAUAUGGGACCUUAAAGAAUUUUGCUUCUCUUCCACAUUUUAAGAGCACUUUUCUUCAACAGAAAGGACAAAACUAAAUCCCACAUGAACACAGGGAUGUGACAUAUCUAAUGGAACACAUUCAAUCUAAAAAGCUUAAACCUGGUUCGAGCCCACUAGUAUGCAUAAACCUUUUUAGGUCUAGGCCCAUCAGCAUAUAUAUCAACCCUUUACUCUUUUAUUAAUUAUCAGAGAUGGGUGUAUUCACAUGUGUACUCUUAACAAUCUCUGCCCUUCACAUAUGAACCAAUCAACUCCCCUUUGAACUCUUUUUUUUUUUUUUGAACUCUCUAAGGCUCUAAGCACUGCAUCGUUUUUUGUUUUUUUUUAUUGCACUCUCUAAACAUUGCACCGAGUCACUUUUCGGCUCUUUAUUACAUCACGCCCUUCCACGUUCUUGUUUUAAACGAGUUACCGCGAACCCACUCAUCUGAGUCCAUACGCUUUUAACCAGCACUACUCAGGAAAUCAUCCGAGCCCAAAUGCCAGACUUGGGGGCCUAAUUCUUUUGAGUGCAUCAAACCAUCAUCUCGCGUUUAUCUGAGUCCAUGCGUUACCUGCUUUUCGGCUCUUUAUUACAUCACGCCUUUCCACGUUCUUGUUUUAAACGAGUCACCGCGAACCCACUCAUCUGAGUCCAUGCGCUUUUAACCAGCACUACUCGGGAAAUCAUCCGAGCCCAAAUGCCAGACUUGCGGGCCUAAUUCUUUUGAGUGCAUCAAACCAUCAUAUCGCGUUUAUCUGAGCCCAUGCGUUACCUCAUGCUUCUCAGGCCCAAUUCUUUUGAAUUCACUAAACCAUCAUAUAGCAUUACUAUGACCGCUCGUCGCAAACCUGUCGUAAAGAACAAAUCGCACCACACCAAGUAGAUGAGUAGCUAGAAUCAUCAAAACAUCAGCUCCUAUACCCACUUGUUAGGGAGUUCUGGACGCAGCCCAAGCCCACAUGAGCCCAAUGAUGUGAUAUAUCUAAUGGAAACAUGAAAAAAUGAAAGUAUAUAUCUAUUCUUUACUCUCUUAUUAAUUAUUUGAUGUGGGACUAUUCACAUAUGAUGAUGUUAAAUCUUAACAGUUAACACAUAUAACAAAAUACAGAAGAUUAUUUUUUCUAAACAGACCAUUCCUCUCAUGCCUUAUUGAGCAAAGAAGUUCCCACCAUGUCCUGGAGACGUACUAGAUUUAGAUAUCCCACACUUUGUAAUGCCUCCUCAUGAUUUUGACUUAAACCUUGUGAAUUGUCUUGCUUUUUGCUAGUCAAUAUUCUAUCUUCUGCUUUUAAACAAUUUCAUUGCCAAAAACUUCAGUUCAUAUAAAAUAACAAACUCCAAUACACCAUAUCAUUCCCAUUCAACUUGUUUCUCACCUAAAAUCUUCCUCAUAAUGUCUUCAAGGGAAGACCUGCAUACUUCUUGACAUAAGCUAGACUGGUCUGCUCAUCUGCAUAAAGAAAGUUGUGCUGCCAACCAAAAUACUUAAAUGCAUUCUCCACAAUGAAUUCUCCUAUGAAUUCUUCUCAUUAGAUUGACUCCAUUGGUCAAAUUCAAUAAGAUGAUUGUCAAAAUCAUUUGCUAAAUAGUUGAUCUACAAUUGAUGGGCGAUAUUCUUUAUCAGUCGAAGGAUAAUCUUCACAGGAUUGAUUUCUGCUAAAGUAUAAGAUUGCUCUGCAAUCCCUUUUAAUCACAAUUAUACCCAAUCUUCAUUAGGGAGUAAGUCUAGACAGCAUAGAAGUUUCUUACGCCGGGCUGCCUUUUUCUUUUUUAGGUAAGGAACUAUUUUCUACUUGGUUAAUUACUUAAAAUCAAGGGAUGAUGUAUAAUAUACCCUUCAAAACUUCAAAAAUAUCAAAUAUACCCCUGGUUGACCAAAAUGCCCUUAUUGAUUGCCAAAAACUCCUUCAAAUAUCCCUCAAACCCCAGGAUUUUACUAAUGGGAUUUGAGGUUUAGAAGGGUGUUUUGCGAAUAGAAGGGUAAAUUUAAAAUUUUUUAAUAGUAGAGGGGCAUAUAAGCAAGAGCCCUUAAAAUUAACUAGGGAUGCAAAAGGAUCAGGUCUUAUUGCUAGGCGAGAAAGUUGUAGCUCAAACAGCAACAUCAAAAUUUUAGACAAAAGUCCAGCCCAACCAUUUGUUCAGAUCCCAACCAUGAUCUAGGUCCAGUUUUGUUACAUAGGUUAGGCCACUCUAUAGUUUUAUGAGAUCAUCUGAUCAACAUGAUCUAGAUCCCAACCAUUUGUUCAGUUUGGGUUGGGGACAGACGGUUAGACGUUGCAAACAAAAAUGGCCACGUCGUCCCGCGCAGAAGCAUUAUUGCUGGCAUGCUACACUGACCCUUAUACCAUGACACUGAGCCAGCAAAAGCGUAUUGAUCAUGCUGUUGUCAUGCAACAUCCUACCUUAUAUUGUCAUUGUGUCAUGCUGGAAAACAGCUGCUCAGGUCCCAGUAGGUUUUAGAUUGUAGGAUUAGACAAGAAGGUGAAGAAGAGAAGGGUGUCACUCUAUUGGGAAUCGGUUUACUAAAACAUGCCUGAAACUUACCAUACAACUCUGCUGGAAACCCUAGCAAGAUCCAGCAGUGGAAACCAUGGAAGAUGAGAGGUAAAAUCUAACUUCCAGCAUCAUCAUUGGAAACAUCAUGCAAAGCUUCAAUUCCCACAAGUAGAUGCCCUAUUCUCAUAAGGGUGCUGUUGGGCAGUCGGACAAACUGCCAGUUUCUAAGCAACAUGAAGUUUCUACGCACACAAAGGCCAAGCCGGAAAAAAUCAUGCCAAUAACAAGUUAAUCCGUGGUCGAGAAUACAAAAUCCUCUGCUCUUGAAAAUAGUUUAACUUUGUUGAGCUAAAGACAAGCUUGGAAACAAAAUGUUGAAAAGAAAUCAAUUACUAAAGACAAAUUUGUUGACCAAAGACCAAACCUGAAAAGAAAAUAAUUAAAAGAUGAAUCCAUUACUAGAGACAAAAUAUAAGGUAAUUAGUUGCAAUAUAAGACAAAUUAUUGCAAAUUAGGGUAGUAGCUUGUCCCUGGAUGUAUUAGAACUACGUACUUGAUCCAUUGGUUAGCCUAUUGACAUAUAUGUCCUCAGUUCAUUUCCGUAUCUAACUCUCCGUAAAAGACAUUCCUAAACUACUAGCCUGUGCAGUAAUGUGGCUUAAAAAGAGAUUCCUAAGAAAGCAAGGUGCUUACAUUGACUUUCCUUCCUGGCUUGCUGUAUAUUUCACAUAUGCCUGAGGAGAGGGAGCCAGCGAGUCUGUUUCGCCAAACUGCUCUAACCUAGACUGUGGAAAGCAGUAGAAAAACUGCUUCAAUAUUGAGGUUCGACAUGUAUUGAUCCUAAGACUUCAACCUCUGCUUUCAAAGAGACCUUAUGCAAGAUGGAGUACAAGACCCUACCUUUUGUUCGCUUCAAAAUAUGAUUUAUAAUUAUUUAGAAAGCUUUUGAAUUUCUAAAAACUUUGAAAUAUAUUUUGAAUAUUUUUUGAUUUUUUUAUGAAUUUUUGAAAUAAAAAAAGAAUUAUGAAAAUUACAAAACUAAAGAAAAAUAGAAGAAAAUUUAGAAAAAUAAAAAAAGAAAAAAUAGAAAAGAUCAUCGAGACUCACUCCUAAACCGAACUCACUUCGAAAUCGGACUCACUCUAGAGUGAUGCAUUCAUGACAGAAAAAAAAAUAAAAAUAAAAAUUGCUUGUGCACCAAAACUCCGAUUCAUCUUUUAUUAAUUUAUUAGUAUCAUCAUCACAAAAUGAAGCUCUAUGUCUUACUUAUAUUAUCCUAAGCCUUAACUACGGAUAACCAACUUCAGAUUUAAUCUUAUCUUAAAUAACUAAUUAAAACAAUUUUAUCUAGAUAUUAACUAAAAAAUACAAUUAUACAAAGCUAAAAAUAAAUGCAAAUAAAAUCAAAUAAGCAGAUAGCUAAAAAUCCUUAUUUAACUAACUAAAAGAUACGAUCAACUAAUCUAAUAUAAUUUAAAAGACGAUGAACUUAAUUGGUUUAACCCGAUCAACUAGAUUGGGCCUAGUCAAGUCUGUAUCAAGACCACCGCCGUAGCACUGUAGCAAUAACAGCUACAAAAUGCAAAGAGGAACCUCAGUAAUAACAGCAAGAUAGACAGGGACCCCAUGUAUUAGCUUCUCCUAAAGUAUCAAGGCCAUCGCUGCCAACAACCAGGAGAGAGACCAACCUUAUGCUCUCCCACAAUCUCAUAGCUAGCAACUUUGUUCAUCACUAUGGCCUAGCUUACGGCGACCUACUUAUCCUCUGACUCUGCACUUGAAAGUCUCCACCAAUGCCUCGCCAUGGGCUUCCAAUUCCUCAAUGACAUCAUUCCUCAAUCAAUUACUUCCACUUCAAUGGCAAUCAAGCCAUCCAAAAGAACUUUGAGUGUGCAGAUCGCGUUCCACAUCAUCGACCUCAACACUCUGCAAAGCCUGAAAUGGCCAAGGUUGUUUCAUAUAUAGACCUUAUGGCCGACAGUAAGGCUCACGAGGCCGGGUUCAUUGAUGGAAGCAUAUAAGGCAAUGGGGAAGUGGCUUUACAACUUUGUUAUCACACUCAGGCUGCGCUUUGUGCUCUUUGAGUUUUUCCUGUGAUGGUAGUGCAAAAGCUCUGCCACUUGCUCAGAAAAGUCACCUACCAGCUCCAACAUGGUCUGACUCCACCGGGCUAACCUCAACUUCUUCCUUCACCUUACAAACUGAGGAAAUAAAAUGCAAACUACAGUGUUCCCCCCAGUACAAAAUAAUUUUUAUGUUAAGUUAUAAAUCCACAAGAUCAUAUUAGCAAACUUUAACAUGUAACAUGUUGGCAUCCCUGUAAAAGAAUUAUAUCACAAUGGUAAAGAAAAUUAAGAACUACACUUCCCUCUUUGCAUUGAACCUACUGUCAUGAUGAACUUAAGAGUUGAUUAUUAUGUUGCUGAGCGCCUUUAAGUGCAAUGGCAAAUUAAACAAUUGUUACACUACUCUUGUAGUCAGUCUCAAGUGUUGGCUGCAAAGACUCCAGUCAUUGUUUGAGAAAAGAAAGUAAAAUAGAGUAAUAGAACAGAAACACAUACUCAGCCAAAUGUGCAUCAUAUAGGGCUAUUUUGAAAUGAAAGAGAGCGCUAAGCUGUAAUUUUCAGUUCUUACCCAUAAGACCAAGUUUUCAUCUCCUUGAGGCCUGCUCUGAUCAAUUGCCUUUCUCCCAGUAAUUAGUUCCAACAGAACCACCCCAAAUGCAUAAACAUCAGUUUUAUCCGACAGUUUCCCAUGUUGGAAAUACUCAGGAGCCAGAUAGCUAAAUAAGCAACAACAAUAAGAACAUAUUCAACAAAUGGAUCACUGCAAAAGAAAAGCUAUGUGUUAAAUUACUUUUGAUAUUACCCAAAUGUUCCUUUGACAGACUUGCAAAGGAAAGGCAGAGAAGUCCCACGAGCCCAUGUAGCGAAUCCAAAAUCACAUAGCUGUUAACAAAAUUAAAUCAGUCCAACCAGAUGAUUUAAUAUCUAUUAAUGAAAUACUAUUUAUGUGGUCCAAGUACCCAUCAUUUCCAAACUUUCUUUCUCACUCCCUUUAAUCUUAGAGACGUAAAACUACGGCUUGAUUUUAGUGUAUAAAUUACUAUAUAACUAGGGUAGUAAAAGAAACUGAUCAUGGCGUAAUCCUAUUGUUCUAUGGACAUCUAUUUUAGAGAAGUACGAAGCAAGCAUUUUACAAAGAAGUGUGAUUUUAGGUGUUGAGUACACUACUCACAACUAUUAUUUCGAUAAGUCCACUGCUAUAAAGAUAAUCCUUUGACUUUGGAAUGUAAUUAGAUCCUCAACAGUUUGUAUUCAAACAAGUUAGUUUCUAUUCUUACCAAAUAUCUUAAUCUCAGCUAAUAUGUUUAUAUCCCCAACAUCCAGCAAUGCACGUCCACCCAUACGGAUAUAACUAGUGAAAAUUCAGAUUUUGUUGCUUAAUGUGCUAGCUCUCGCAUGCUAUGGACUGCCAUUGGUCAUAAUUAUGAAGGGAAAAUGCUUUCAGCAAAGAUACUAAAAAAAUUAGGUAUGAAUCAAGUAACAACCUAAGUACCAAAUUCCAGAACUAAAUAGCAGUUCAGGAAAAAUCAGAACUGUUUGCCCAAAACAAUUUGCACUUAGUCCGCUGACCAAAGCAAAUAUCACACAAGGUUUUAAGCGCCCAUUAGCAUAGGCCGUACCCACCGUACCAACAAGAUAUCAGCAUGAUACGACUCCCGUAUCGAUGGUACUGCUUAACAUCCUCUUUUGUUUGAAAUUAGCUGGUUUUCUCUGUAAUAACCCAACCCACUAGCACUAAUAACUCUUUGGGCCUAAACCACUGAUACAAAAUAUUUAAGCCUAGUUAUUAGUUCUAGUAUGUCAAUCACAUAUAAGCCCAUCAUACUCUUCCACAAUAUCCAAUGUGAGACCAAUGGAUUUCCUAUGUUUUAGGUCUUGACGCCCUUGUCAAUCCAUUCGCACACACAGCCCAAGAUCACCUGGCGAUGUAAGACUCACCUCACACACUUCCGACUAGUAAACUGACUCUAAUAUCAACUAUAAUUAUCCAGCCAACUAGCAUUUAUAACUUGUUACUUGGGCCCAAACCACUAACCCAAAAUAUUUAAACUCAAUUAUUUGCAAGUGUGUCAAUCACAUAUAAGCCCAUCACACUCCCAUAUUAUUCGAUGUGGGACUAUCAGGAUGUCACAAUCUCAAUAAUUUGAUAAAGAUAUGUAAUAAACAAUUAGAAUAUAGUGGUGCCAAAGAAAAUAAAUAUUUUUAUAUCAUAUAUAGUGUGUAGGGGCACAAGUAUUUUUGUGAUCGGCCCAAAUCAACACGACACGACAUGCCCAGUGUCGUGUUAUGCCAUACCAGCAAGUUCUCGACGCGACCCUAAGUCACGAUGCUAAUAUCAAGUUAAUCAUGACAUAUGCAACUUUUUUUUCCUUGUUAACAUGCACUAUGAAUAUCAGAAGCAAUCAAAAGGAGAGAGAUCGAAAAGAGAAGAAAAAACUCGCACUUUGGGGCUUUUCUUGGAGGAGAGGAGAAUGUUGGAGGACUUGAUGUCUCGGUGGAUCACGCACUUUUCGGUGCCGUAGUGCAGGUACUCCACAGCCCGCGCCGCCCCCACCGCCACCUUGUACCUCGCCGUCCAAGGCAACACUUUCCCUACAUACUACUAAUUAGCACUAAUUUGACGAAAAAAUUAACUAAGCAUUCGCAAUUCUAAGUGAUAAAGAACGUGGUUACAAAAGGAGAGGACUAGUACGAGAGUGGUGGAGAUGGCGAUCGAGGCUACCGCCGGAAACGAACUUGUAAACAAGAAAGAGGCCGGCCUUAUCGAUGCAGAAGCCGAUCAGGGGGACGAUAUUGGGGUUGCAGAGGGAGCUCGCGAUCAUCAGCUCCCGGCAGAAAGCCUUGGUGCUCUCCCUGCCCUCCCCCUCCACCCUCUUUAUCGCCACCGCCCUCCUCCGCACUCCGACCCUCCCCCUGUACACUCUGCUCAGUGGGCCCCUGCCCAGCUCCCUCCCUAACAAAUAAUAUCACAGUUUCCACUUGAUUCAAUAAUUACAUAUUAACAGUUUCCGUAGUUGGAGUAAUCGAAAUCAAGAAUUUGGACCUGCAGAGAGGCCAUGAGUGGCGGAAUGUAUCUCGGCGUAGCUGAACCGCACCGCCCGCGAGGCGAUCGGAGAGAUGCUCCUCUCGAGAAAAUCCAAUCUCUGCCACUGCAGAGCCUCCGGCGCAGACGGAGGCGGGGCAGCGGCCCCCUGCCUGUCAUCAUCAUCCUCCAGACUGACGAGCAGCAGCACCGCCGAGGCGACACCGGCGGCGGCGGCGGCGCCGCCCGCAGCCUCCACAGCCGCGGGGGGCGGGGGCGAGCCGCGGAAGCUGAGGCGGAAGGAGGAGUGCACGGAAUGCAGCUCGGCGGCCCCGUCCCCCGCCGCGGCGUCGGCGAGCAGCCACGACCUGUUCUCGGCGUCGCAGCGUCCGCGGCCGUCGUCACUCCCGCCCGUCUGGCGCCUCCCUCUCCGCCGCAACGCGGCAAGACUGGACACCAUUUUCUUGCAAGGAAUUAUCCCGUCAGAGCUGCCGCCCCUUCGCCGGUUCCGGCCGUCUCUGCGGGCAAUGUAGCAGCCGCCGCCACCGCCGCCGCCGCUGCUGCUGUAGGAGGAGCCCAUGAGGCUCCCAGCUCAAGCCCAAAGAGAGAGAGAGAGAGAGAGAGAGCGAAGAAGCAGGAUGCGAGCAUAAAUAUAAAUAAAUAAAUAAAUAUAUAAUAAAGCGUUAAAGGGCGAUUAAUGAGCUCGACAAUGUAGGGGCACUUUAAUUUUAUUGUGUUAGCUUUGCUUGUGGGUGGGGUGUGUUGUUUUGCCUUUGGCCGCUUUUGCUUUUCAGGGUUAAAAGGCGUGUUGGAGUGAAAAUUCUGAUUUACCAACAAGAGAGAAAUGGAGAAGUGUGGCAGGUGGAUAAUAGCGGACUAAUUCGGUUAGUUGGCCUGAUCGGGACAGUUGAUUAUACUAUAAAACUAUCGUCGGUGUACUAAGUUGAAAGAUGCUGUAUGUACGCUAAAAUAGAGUCGACAUAAUAUUCAAGUUUUACCAACUUUUUAUUAGAGUUUUAGUUUAAAAAAAUCUAUAAAAUUAUUGAAAGUAUAUUGAAGUUUAAAUGGAUGAAAUAUAAGGUUUACGCUCUAUUUAUAGGUGUACUAGUUAUACUGCUCUAUUUAGUUUUAAAAAUUAGUAUUUGUACAUUCAAAAAUAAGUUAUAAACCUUUGUAAUACUUUUUUUUUUUUAGAGAGAGAGAUAGAUAGCAUGCUACCUACUAUAUUUAUUUCUUUUGAGUAGUUUCAAUCUGUGUGUUAGGUUUUAGAAUCUAGUUAUUAUGUCUCCGUACAUGGAUAUGUGAUCUGGAUGAGCUUCGAAUUUUAUAGAACCUCAGUUGAGAUUCUAAAACUUCAGUGUAUUCUCAAACAUCAAAAUCAUGUUUGAAAACUCGAACAAUAGAUUGUGUGCUUGGUCUGGGAGUUGUGAAACAAAUUAUGUUUUAAUAAGAAAUCCAUCUGCAAUUAUUCUCCAUCUAUAAAUACCUUUUUUGGGAAACUCCAGCCUCUUUCUUUCUCGGACAAAAAUUUGGUGGAUAUAAUCCCCAAACAUAAUAUUUUGGGGAUUGUUGGAUCCGCGCCAUAUGGCAAGCCGCGCUGAUCUCAACCAGCCAAUAAAAAUAAAUUUUUGAAUAUUUUAAUCCAAUAAAAAUAAUAUUUUCUUUUAGUGGUUGAGAUGGGUACAGCUUGCCAUAUGGCGCCCAUCCGGACAAUCCCCAAACUAUUAUGCUAGGGACUAUGUCCACCAAUUUUUGGUUCUUCUUUUCCCUCUCUCUCUUUCUAGUCCUCUCUCAUUCUCUCUCAAGCUUUCCUACCUCAGAACCGAAUGGAUGGAGCUUCCUUUAGGAGGAGGUCUUGGCCUUUUAAGUGGCCUUGUGGGGAGAUUUCCAAGAACUAGGUGAAUUGUAGUUGAUUCUUAGAUUAGUUAUAUGAAUUUUAGGUGUUGCUUGAAGGGUUCUUAUUUUGGCAUUAAAGUUUUUAGGUUUUUAAGCUUUUUAUGACUUGUGUUGGUGUUUUUGUCCUAAUUUUGGACAUGUGUCGGAAACCUUAAGUUUUUUGGAGUCAUUUUGUGUCAAUCCCCAAGCUAGAUGAGAAUUUGAGCAUAUUUCGUGGCAUCAUUCCUUGAUGUGUGGAGGAAAUAUUGAUUUCGGUAUAAAAUGCUAGUUUUGCAAAAUUUAUCAUGGCUUUUUCAUUAUUUCUUACUCCUUAUGCCUCACCUUAGUGCAUUUUUAGUACCUUAAGAAGUUUAAAGUUGAUUCUAAUUGAAUUGAAGUUGCAACUUUGCGAAAUUCGCGAAGUUUCUACCACUGAAUGUACAAUCUAGGGGCCUAGUUUUGGAACUAUCUAAUAAAAUAGUGCGGUAUAGUUCUAUUUCUAUGGAGCUAUCAAUAUGUUACGGAACCUCAAUCCCAAGUUCCGGAACCUCAGCCACCAAAAAUUCGAAACUUGAAUUUAUUUGAACCUCAGCCACCAAAAAUUCGAAACUUUAGUUUUAUUUGAUUCUUUCUUCAUGAAUAGCACCAAGUGUAAUGCGUGACCUGAUUGCACUCUUCUUAGUUCCAUACAAGGAUCGAGAAGCUGUGAACGUGUUGUGAUUGCCAUCUUAGCAACUUGAGGUAGGUAUACUCUCCGAACUUGAUUUAGCAUCAUCACCACAAUGUGCCUAAACUUGUUUAACCCCUUUGUGGUUGACAUGAACUAUUUAUAGCCUAUUGUAGUUGUACCUCAAGUCGAUCUUAGCACUUAUAUAUUGAUAGCAUGCUUAUUUACUAUUAUAUCGCUUGCUUAUAUCUUAUUCUUGUCAUUAUAUGGAUGUGAAUAGUAAAGAAGCAUGCUAGUUAGAUAAAUGAUAAAAAGGGGCAUUGUGAACCAAGUACUAGUAUUAGGAUUCGGAUUAGACUUGGACUAUUGCUCGAGUUAGUGCAGAUUUAUGUCCUGGCUGCAUUGGAUUACGACUAUCACCUUAAUUACAAGCAUGAUGAUUCACCAAGAAAAUCUAUGGUCCUCUUCGCCGUCUCGAUGGUUUGGCCACCCCGAAGUAGGGUGAGCUCCUCCGAAAGAGAGGUCGUAAUUCAACGAAUUAGUCCGGCCGGGUCUCUUACUAGGUAAGGGAAUUAAGUAUUAGUUGCAUGAGUUUCUUCCUAGACAGAGUAUUGGCAUAAUCUAGGUUUGUUUCUAGAUAGAUCAUUGAGCGUGAGUCAGGAUAGAUGAUUGGGCCAGUUGUUGACACCUUGGUAUAUUCUAUGUAUGCAUAGAACAUUGUAUGUUGUUCACUGACUAUCAUUGUAGAUACCGCUUAUCCAGCUAUAUGACAUUGAUUGUUGCUUAUUAGUCAUCUCUUGACCUUAUAAUGUUAUUACUCCCUUAUUGACUGGUUAGAGUUAGUUUGCUCUUGUCGGCUUGUUGUAUCCACUAAAAACUUUAUCAUUUCUCGAUCCCUGGUGAAUUUAUUUUUUAAGAGCAUUAGGAUGGGUGGAACAUAUUAUAGAGGACCCGUGCUAGAUAGGUUCACCUAGAUAGAUGCACUCUCUACACUUUUGAGGCUAUUAGCAUGGUAUUAUAUAGGAGAUGGAAAAUUUGUGGCCAAAACUAAAGAUAGUUGUAAUCUGUGGUUUUCGGAUGCUAUAACAUGUUUUGCAUACUUUAAAUGUUAUUUAAAAAUUAGAAAUUCUGAUUUUCUUAGCUUUGCUACAUUAUAUUCAAAACUACUUUGUAUUCCAAUGUCAUGUACAUAAGGAAGAAACUAUAUCCAUGUGGCGGAUUUAUGCACACGUCCAGUUGAGUUUCCAUGCUGGGGCGUGACAUUCUUACAUCCAUCCAUGAGUUUAGCCUUUUUUUUUUGGAUUUUUAAUAUUUUCUAAAAAAUAUUUGUAAGACUAGUGUGAAGACAUAGUCUCUUGGAUCGAUAGAGUGUAAAAUAGACACUCAAUUUUUUGGAGUGCACAUAGCAUAUAUUAACUCUACUUCUGUCCUUUAUGCCUCUCUCGACCCCAACUCCGACUCUGCUGGCUCCACCUGCUCUCUUUGCUCCUCUUGCACUCCCGCUGCCCCUUCAUUUGAUGACGGUGGGAAGAGGUUGGGGUGGGCGUGAAUAGAGGGUGGGCGAGGAUGACACGGCGGAGGAGGUGAGCGCAUAGGCAUGGGCGCGGACAAAAGAAUGUGCGAAGGCGAGGUAGCGGAGGAGGGCGAGGGCGAGGGCGAGGGCGAGGCGGCGGAGGAGAGCGAGGCGGCACGGCCAACAACGUCGUUGGUAAAGAGGAGGCGAUGCUGUUGAGAGAGGGUAGAAGGGUAUUUUCGGUAUAAAAAAAUAUAAUAAUAGGUUAUAGACGAACCUCGAACGGAACACUAACGUCAGGGUCCGAAGUGAGCAUUUUUUUAUUUUUUUAAAAGGGCAAAGUGUAGCUUUUUAAAUGAUAAUGAAAAAGUGAAAAAGCAUAUCUUGAUAGGGGUUUUUGUAAUUUAGCCUUAUUACAUAUUAAUUUACUUGCAGAUUCUUUUCAGAUUGGAUUACAAGAAUCUCUCUCUCAAGAGCUUUCCGCUUUUUCUCUCAACUGGGGUAUCUAUGAUGAAGCUCUCUUUUUCUGAAACCUCCGACAAUGAGGCUCUAGACUCUAAAAUAUAAAUUACAAUAAUUUAUAACCCUAAAACCCCAAUUUUAGUAGGAAACAUUUUUCGCCGUCCAUCUGAAUUCCUAUUCACUUAUAGUCGUUUAUCUCCUCUUAAAGACUCUCUUCAAAAUAUUUUUAGAUCAUCCCUAAUCUCAAGAUAUAAGAUUAAAUCAAAUUGAAAUCAAAUCUAACUUAUCCAGUCUGUUACAAAGUUGAGUACGGUACUCAACUUGGAGUACAGUUACUAAAACACCUCUAUAAUUUCAGGACAAGUACUCAAAGUUGUGUAUCGGUACCCAAUACAAAAAAUAGGAAAUUGAGAAACUUUUGAAAAACUUCUGAAAUACUUCUUAAUACUUCUUAAUACCGGUACUCAAACUUCAAAUUCUAAUACUUAACAUCCAAAAACCUUAAAUAUUUUAUUAGUCCACCAUGAUAUCGAGUCGGAAUGUAGCUUCACAUAAUUCAACAGUUUUGUGGGCUUUUAGUAUUAGAAAUAGAAAAAACUUCAAUUUGCCCUUUUUUUUUAUCUAAAAUACCCUUCUAAAUUUCAAAUCUUAUUAGUAAAUCCUAAGUUUGAGGGCAAACCUGAGAAUCUCUACCUGUACCUGCGAGUACCCGCAAGUUAUCCGUAAAAUUGCGGGUAUGGGUACUAAUUUUUUCUAUCCAAAAAAUUAUAGAUAAAAUGAAUGGUACCAGUCAAGUGGUGGGCAUUUUAGACAAUCCGCAGAUACCCACGGGUAUCCCAUAUAUUUUUUAAUUAAAAAAAUAUUUUUUAUUUACCUAUUUUUAAGAAACUCUAACCUAAUUUAAUAUCGUGUCUUUUUUUUUCGUUGCAGCCAUCUCUCGCACUAUGUCGUCUCUCCAACCGCACCACUCUACCAUCCUCAAGCGGGCCGACCUAAAUCGGAACAUGAAGUGUUCAUUUACGGUUUUCGCCUAUGACUUCUCCAGCCUUUUUUUUUUUUGUUUAUCUGCGAUAGUUGUGGAUUGAGUUUUAGUGGUUUAUCUUUAUGAUAUUUACUCUAUAUAUAAUCAACAAAGUUUUAUUAAUUUUGUAUUAUAAAAAUUUGGUAUGAUAAAAUAUUUUAUAUUAUAUAAUUUAUGGGCUUUAAGAUUUUAUAUUGUUUAUUAUCUGUUAUGAUAUUUCAAACAACAAGUUAAAUUAUACUUUUAAAAAUUGUAUAUAUGUGUUUUGCAUUGGAAAAUAUAGGAGCAAACAAGAAAGAAAAGAAAAUCUUGCGGGUAACUAGCAUACCUAUCUGUUCGCUCGCCGGUGGGUAUAGGUAAAGAUGUUGGCUAUCCAAAAAUUUGUAGAUAAAUUUUAUUCAUAGCCAUAUGAUCUGCAGGUGUAAUGAUCUGCCCACAAUUUACUCAUCUCGCCCGUUUGUCAGGUCUAAUUAAAUACAUAUCUUUUAAAAAUUUGUAAAUCAAUAAGACAUUAUGGUCAAUCAGAAAUAUAUUUGAUAUUUUUGAAGUUUUGAAGGCUACAGUAGAUAUUAUUCUAAAAAUUUAAAAAUAAAUUUAUUCAAAAUAAAAUAAUAGAAUCUUAAAAAUAUUAAAAUUAAAAUUUGAAAAUAAAUUUGAUCUUAAGUUCAGAAAGUAAAAAUUAAUAAAAAAUUAUUUUAAUUAUUUAUUAAUCAUCCAAGCAAUUUUUGUCCCGGAAUUAAAAAGAAAAUUAUGAGCGGCGGAGUGAUCAACAAUGUUGUCUUAUUAGUAACCCCAAUUUAUCUCAAUGUAUCAUAGAGGAUUAUAAUUUGUUUUAAAAUUUAAAUUUUUUAUUCUAAAUUUAAUAUUAAAAAGGGGCAAUUGCUUAUAUAUUCUUAAAAAGUUCUCGACUUUCUAAUUUAUUGCUCUUAGAAUACUAAUAUUAAAAAUAUCCUUUAUGUUCCAAUCUAUUUCAAAUAUACCCUUAUUAGAGUUAAAUUCUAUUAAUGAACUAUUAGCAAUAGCUAUUAUUUGUAUAAAAUUAUUAUUUUGCCCUUUCAAAUAUACCCUUCCACUAUCACCGAAUUUUCUUAUUUAUCUUUAAAAGGCUUAAGUUUGGUAUUGAGACCUAUCAAACACUAUUAAAUAAAAUAGAGUUGAUGAAAAAACAUAUAGGGAUGUACUUUUGCGUUCUCCGGUGGGAUCGCAGAAAAUAAAUAUAUCAUAAUCGACUCAUCGCGAUAUGCAGAACACAAUAUUACAUACAAACCGUACUUAAUGUAAUCUCCCCGUAAUCCCAAACCGUACGUAACGCAAUCUUCCCAUAAUCCCAAACGAAGUUUAAGUUAGGGACACAAAAAUUAUUUUGAUUUUUACUCUUUUUAAAUAUAUUAUUUUAUCAUCACCAAAAUUUUUUUAAUUAAUAUAGAUAUUUAAUUCAUAUUUAAGUCAAAUUAAUUUAACGGGUGAUAACUGUAUAGAUAUUUUGGAACGGCGAGAAAUAUACAAGAGUUAAAAGAAAAGAAAAAAAAAUAUAUACGGGAUAUUUUCAAAGUUUCGAAGGUAUAUAGGCAAUUAUUGCUAUUAAAAAAUAGGUAUUUGUUAAGGGCACAAUUAAAACAUUGUGGAGGUCCGCGCUUGAGUUUUCUUCCCGAUUUAGGGCUUCAGAAUCUCGGUCGCCUCUCUCUCUCUCUUUCUCUCACGCCUACUCCUCGUCUCGAGCUUCUUCAUCGCUGGCUGCGCCUGUUUCUGGAUCUCUCAGAUAAGAAGCUGCAGUCCAGACAAGCAUCGGAAGGAAGAGAAGUUGCGGGGGAAUGGAGAAAGGCCGCGCCGUCGGGAGCCCGGCGGGCGAUAGAGAAUGCCCGGCAGCGGCCGAAAAGAAUCCGAAGAAGCAGAAGCCCCCCUUCAGGCCCGCGCCGGACGACACCAAACCACUCUUCCGCGACCCCGUUCGUCUAUUCCUGUCUCGCUAUUCCUACCUACCCUUUUCCUUUUCUUUCUCUUCCUUAAUCUAAUUAUGGCUCCCUUUUUCUUUUUUCUUUCUUUAUUCUUUAGAUAUUGAGGUCGGACCCAAUCGAGACCGAGCAAGCAGUGCUCGCGCUUACCUCGCUCCCCAAGAACGCAGCGAUAUCUGAUGAAAACCGCAAAUGGUAGGUUCUUUUUUUUUUUCUUUUUUUUUUUUUUUUUGCUUUUCAGCUGUAUCUUAUUAGUUUUCUUUCUUGUGCUGCGAUGGAUCUUGGAAGCUAUUUAACGCAUAAAAAAUUAUGAGGCAACCCUCAUGGAUCUCGCUUGUCUCAUUUUAGUGAUAUAUUGCUUUAAAAUAUAUUUUUUAGUAUCCUGAUGAAUUUUUAUUUUUAUUAUUUUUUUUUGUGGCGAACUACAUUUACUCUCGUUAAAUCAAUAUAUAUAUUUAUUAUAAUUAUAUAAUAUAUAUAUAUAAUAUAUAUUAUAUAUAUAUAUAUAACACUUUAAUAUCCUAUUUAAUUUAUCGGAUAUUUAUUUUAGUAUUUUAUGGUUUAUCGAAUUUUUGACUUUACUAAUUUUGUUACUGAUAUAAAAAAAUUAACGAGGAGGGAUAAAUUAACUGAGGGAUAACGGAAGAUAAAAAAAAUCCGGGUACUCUGCUUGCGUUCUCAUCUGAACUAGCCUCCCGUUUGUCCCCUCCGCUUGUACCCCCCUACCAAACAGGCGAACCGAUGUUUAAAUCAAAAAAAAAAAAAAAAAAGAAAAACAGAAAAUCUUGAGUAGGGAUAGUAAAUAUGAUAAUAUUUUAAAUCACAUGUUACUGGCGCAAAAUUACAGCAGUGAUAUUUGAAGUUUUUUCAAAAUUAUAAGUAUUUUAAGUCCCUGUGCUUUUAAAAACAUGGUUAUCAUUGUUUGUUCGAAGGCAAGUUAAUAGUUUAGAAACUGAGGCUUUUCACUUUACAUCAUAAUUGACUUAGUCCUGAAUGGCAGCCGUAUUUUGAGAAAGUUAAGUUAAGAAAUUUGAGUUAGUGGUGAAUCAAACAAUGAAAAAUGGGCAUAUGCAGCCAUAAUUUACUGCAACUUUUGCCUUCUUUUGUGUUUCUACUUAUGAGGUGUUUAUUUGGUAAGAAAACUUUGUUAUCCAUCUUUAUGGCUGGACUUGGUUUAUUUUAAUUUUAGAGUUUGUUCGUCCUUCAUUUAUUUGUUUGAGAAAUGCUAAUUCUUGAACCCAGAAAGGGUCAUACAAGGAUUAUUAUAAUCCUACUCCCAUGGAUUUAAAAGAUUUUCUUUUUCUAUUUUGAAUUUUAGUGAUAAAAACAAAAGAGAUCAUAAAGGCUAGUAGAGAAAAAAAGAAUCAUUAGUAGAUGAUAGAGUUGCGAGUAUUGCUCUAUAUUCUUUUUGUUUUUUUUCAUCUAUGUUGGUUCCAAUAAUGGUAUCGUAUUAAGCGGAUUAAUGAUGUUUUGAAUCUGACAAUGUUGUUCGGAACACCGUCAGCAAGAUCUCCAGGUUCUACAACACCGAGGAGUUAAACAUUUUUCGGCUCUUUUGCAGUAUUAUGGUUCAAUUAGUCUUGGUAUAGAAUGAAACACUAAAUAAUUCUAUCUUGGAUUAAGGCAAAAUUAACUACGGGAAAAAGGAAGUUAAAAAAAUUAGUGAAAAACUCACUUACAAUGAAGUUGCACUACAGUAUCAAACCUGGCCUUGCAGUGUAGUUGCACUACUACAACUACACAGCAAAUCAAACACAAAUUGUAGGCUUACUUGGAGUUGCAGUUGUAAUGCAACUCGCAAAGCAAGCAAUCAAAGAGGCCUAUCCACUUUAGGGCCCUGCCAAGAUCAAAGUAAUCUAACUGUAGGAUCAGACUUGCAGGUGAUAUUUGUACUCUGCUGCAGGAAAAUUGUAUGUGAGGUUUGGCUGGAUCGAAAUCAUGCCAAGAUCGAUAUACAUAAACCCAGCCAAAAAUUCUAUGGGGAUGUAUUUUCAAUGUGUGCAGUAGUUGCGUAAAACAUAGAAGCAGUUACUUGUUUGCUUAGAUAACCAUGUCAAAUGUACCUUUUUGGACGUAUUGUAGGGCGUAGUACAAUAGAAUCUCAACAUCUCAUUUUAACUUUCUGCUGCAUUAGAAUUUAAGGCUUUUCUGAAAAAUAGAAUCAGAAGUGAAACUACAAAGGCUCUAUGUAAUGUUAACUUUCUUCUGCAGCAUUAGAAGUUUAAAACUUAUCGAAAAACAGAAAUCAGGAAUGAAGCUACAAAGGAUCUAUGUAAUUUUUCCUGAUGUCAAAUUGCAAACAUGCUUAUUGAUCACCUUUACUUUCUUUGAAAUUGGGAAGUAUGAAAUGUAUAGUAAUUUUUGUCUUUAUAAUGGUGUGAUACAUGUAGAAGGCUUAGAAGAGCUGUGUUGGAACCCAGGAAUGUGCAGAGGCCAUGAUUUCUUAUUUCCAUCCAUCUGCAUGCAAUCAGAAGAUUUUUGAACACUAUUUUGACUUUCACAGCUUUGAAAGUAUACUGUUGUUGACAUUGCAUAUUUUUCAGACAAUGUUACAUAAUAUUUUGGAUAUGUACUAUGGAAAAAAUUUGAUGGAAAUUAUAUGUUUAAAGACCAAGCUUUUCUUCCUCCCACAUUUGAACAUUAAUAAAUGCAUCAAAUUUUUGGAUAACACUGAAGUUUUGACACAAAAGUCUUUUAAUUUUUCUUACUAUUUUUUGUUUUUUGUUUUUUUUAUUCUGAAGUUUCAAAUAGGAUACUUAUCCCAAGAACCUUCUCUGGAGCUAGUACUAGGUAUAACCUUAGUUAAUUCGCGAUUAAAACGCGAAUGAUACGCGAAUUUUAAAAAUUACUUAUUAAACACCCCGUUCCGUAUUUUUUCGAAAAGUUCGGAAAAAAAGGCCAAAUCUUUCUCAAAAAAACUUGUUUGCGAAUUAUUUGCAAUUCGCGAAUGAUUCGACUAAAAAAAGGGCACUCGCGGUCGAAGCUCGCUGCUCGUGUCGUCGCCGUGCUCGUCGUCGCGGAUUCGCGGCCGAGGGUCGCGUCGUCGUCGCUCUUGUCGCCGAACUCGUCCGGGUUGUCCUCCUCAUUCGCUGCCCUUGCCGGCAUCGGGAGCAAGAGCCGCCGCGACGACAGAUGCCCUCUCGCGCCGUCCGUGGAAAAAAAAAGAAGAGAAACAGUAAAAAAAAUCGGGGCUUUUGAGCAUACUUGUGCGCGGUCCACGAGGCCACUUUGUGGCCUCGUGGACCGCAUGAGAGGGAUGUCCACGGUGGACCUUCCUCUCAUUAAUAUAUUAUAUAAUUAUAGUAGUAUAUAUAUAUAGAAUUAGGCGGAAUACUAUUAAUAAUAAAACGUUCUUUUGCUAUCAAGAGUUUUUAACCCUUGGAUGAAAAAAUUGUAGGGUUAGGAUGAUAUUAGUUGGUUAGAGUUGAGUGGUCCUCCUAGGGUUGAGUGGUCUCACAUGGGUUAUAGUAUUUAAUCCAAUGGUUAGAAAUAAUAAAAAGAGUUGAUCCAAAGGCUAAAAAACUAGUAGCAACAAUAAGAUUUUGCUACUAAUAGUAGCCCAAUCAACUCUAUAUAUAUUAUAUAUAUAUAAUAUUAUAUAUAUAUAUAUAUAAUAUAUUAUAUAUAUAUAUAUAAAUUUUAUUUAUAAAUAUAUAUCAUUUAUUUUAUUAUAUAAGUUUUUUAUUAUAAAAUUUAUAAUUAUUUAUUAAUAUUCUAAAUACAUAAUCUUAUAUAUUAUAAUAUAUAUUAUAUUAUAUUAAUUUGAAUAUAUUUAAUUUAUAUAAAAAAGCAUAAAAAGUAUAUAUGUAUAUAUUAAUUAUUAUAUAUUUAUUAUAUAGCCGAAUUUUGAUUCCGAAUUUUUAAUUGUAAACGUAUAAUAUCCGUAUAAAUUACGUAUCCGAAUAAUUACCACAUCCUUUUUAGCCGUAUUUUCAAAAGAAUUUAAAAGUUAAAAAGAGAAUUUUAUCCGAAUUAUAUCCGUACCGAAUUUUGCCGAUCCGAAUUAACUAACUAGGUAUAACCAGGAAGCUGACCUCUAUUGAAAGCCCUUUCUUUGAAAAUUAACUUCCCAACUACUCUAGAAAGUGAGUGGCUGCUAGAUGAUGCAGAAGUCCACUAUGUGUAGGAAUGUGGAAUUACAGAAAUGGAUAGACUCAACAGCAGUGCAGCCUAGAAUAUAUGAAAUCUUGAUGAGAACAAACUCUUUAAUCUUGACAUUAAUAUAUAAUCUUGAUACUAAUACUGAUAACUUUUCGGUAAAUAAAAAGGAGUGAGGCUACUAUGCUAUUCGAGAGUACGAGCCUUUCGUGCUUUCAGACGUUUUCGAUGUUGCGACUUCAAUCGUCGAUCGGCUUCGUAUACUUGAUCUAGAGUAUUGUUAGUACUUAGAAAUAAUUUAUUAUUUUUCAAUAUCAUUUGCCUAGUGAUCGAAUGGGCUCAAAAUCAACAAAUUUCAUUGGCCGUAGUGAGCCGUUUGCAAGUUUAACGAUGUAUAAAUAUCCAAAUCACGUGAAAUUUUGAUAGAAAAUUCUUUAUACUAUAUAAAACAAGAUCAAUAUUUUUGAUUUAAAAUUUUAAUGUCAUAUUAUUACAUUUUGUAAGAUUUUUAUUUUCAGCCGUUGAUUUUGAGCCCCUUCGUUCACUAGGCAAAUGAUAUCGUAAAAUCAUAAAAUUUAUUUUUCUAGGUACUUCAAAUACUCUAGAUCAAGUUUAACGGAGCCGAUCCACGAUUCGAAAAUCGCAACAUCGAAAACGAGCUGGAAGCACGGAAGGCUCCGUGCUUUCGAUAGCAUAGUAGCCUCACUUAUAAAAAGGAUAUGCUCAAUAAAAAUGUUUGCGUAGAAAAACAUGCUCUUUUUAAUGAUUAGAAACAAUACUUUUCAGUAUCUUACUUUUUAUGGCAAUUAUUUGUCACGUAAUGCUUGUCACGUAUAAAUUGUCCUCACCAAGUACAAAAAAGAUGUUGAUUGUUCCAUGUUUAGAUCAUGACACUAUGACCUCUUCUAGCUCCUUCGAUCCAAUGGGCUCUCCGUUUCCUUAAGUGGAUUCACAACAAAAUAUAUAUAAUUAAGAAGGUCCAUUCCCCACACUUAUUAAUGUUCUUGUGUAUUGAAUACACAAGUGGACAACCAUACCAUAGUUGUUCUUGCUAGGAGAGGAAUAAAUAAAGCACAGUGGGAGACAAAUUUACCUUCAUUUUUAUUAAGUGCGAGUGAAUGAUAGGGCGAUGAUUGACACUUGUUUCUUAUUUCGAACCAGUUUAUUUAGAAAAUUACUAUUUAUACAUUUACAAGUGAGAUACGUAUCUCUCACUCACUCUAUCUAAGUUUUUUUGUUUCUUGUUGGGUUUUAGUAUUGAAAAAUAGGAGUGUGAUAAGAUUUAACCGACGUUUGUUUUAAGUUACCAAACUUCUUUUUUUUUUUUUUGAUUAAAUCACUAGUUAAUUUUUAUUUCAAUCUGACCAUUUUAUUUAAUUUUUUAUAAUAUUUUAAACAAAAUGAUAAAGCAAUAGGUGAGUUAACUAUCACAUUGAAUUCUAGAGAAGACAUUAUAGUUAAUUUUGUUGUCAUGUAUUAUUGGUAUAAUGUAUAAUUAUAUUAUUUGGUAUAUGGGCUUGAUUUGGGAUGAAAAUUUUCCUUGUAUACUUCAAUUCCUGGUAUUGCUGGAUUCUUAUUCCGGAAUUACUUUGUAUAGCUUUAGGAUCUCUUUUUUAUAUUAAGAGAGCAAUAUGAUGAAUAAUAUAUAUAAAAUAUAUUAUUUUUAAAUAAACUUCUAUCAUGUCAUAGGAGCUCUAACUAGUAAUAUUUUGGACUGGUAGUUUGGACCAACGACUUCAAAAAUUAAUGAAAGUUCAAAUAUCAGCCCAAUUAAAUUACAAGUUAAAUUUCAGUGUCUUGAUCGAAAGAAAUUAAAAUUUGAUUAUCCAAAUAUAAUUUUGUUAUAUUUAACAAUUUUAUUUAUUUAGCUGGGGUGGUCAAUAUGUAUAUAUUUUUAUCAAUAAAUGUUUUUGUUGAGAAUUAGUAUCAAUUUCAGUUGAUGGAUUACUAUUAUUAUUCAUUUGAUUGGCCCAUCUCUGGCUCGACCAAUUCCAAAUUCGCCCCGCUUUCGUAAUGGGAUAAAAUAUUUAUUAUAUGAUCUAAUCUGCCUAAAACAUUCAUCUCCCAAUUGCAUCUCAAAUCCUCCAAGUCGAUAAUUAUUUUAUUCUUUUUUAAAUUAAAUUCAAUAUAAUUGAGUCCUUAUUAUUAUAAUUAAAAUGGAACUAAAAAAAAAUAAAUGCACUUGCAUAAUAUUCCAUGAAUAGGUAAAUAUUAUAAUAUUAUUUAGAUACUUAUUUGGAACAGAUAAAGGGUGGACUCGGGAUGGGUCAAAUUUUCUACCGUCUCAAUCAAGUAAUGUAAAAUAGAUUUUUUCAAAUAUUCAACCGUGCGAUGAACGGCUAAUGUAAUAAUAUAAAGUAACAAAAGUUAUUAUGUGAUGAUAAAAAGAAAACAUUUUAACUAAUAUUAUAAUUAUUUUAACAAAUAAAUAAAUAUACUAUCAAUCUUAAUUAUAAUACAUACUGAAGUAUAAAAGCUAGAGAAAUAAAAUUAUGGACCACAUCAUUAAGUAUUAAGAAUAAGAGUUGCUAUCCUACUUAAAAAAUAUAUACACAUACUCGAUAUUACUAUAAGUUUUAUACUUUUAGAUAUAAUAUGAUAAUACGGUAUAUAUCAUAGGUAUAUAUAUACUAUAGGUAGGUAUAUAUAUAAAUUAAAAGGACCAUUGUACUACAAAUGCUACUUCUAAAAUAAAUCAUUUUAUAUCAUAUAUGUGCCUACUUGUUUUUUAUUUUUAUUUAAUCAGAAAUAUAAUUUUUAAAUUUAUAUUUAUAUUAGCAACAAAAUUUCAAGAACGUAAAAUAUCUUUAUUUAAGAUGUAUAUAUGAGUGUCAUAUUAUAAAGUUAUCAGAUUGAUAAAUACAAUAUACUUUUGCUUUGGAUAAAACUGUCAAUCUAGUUAUUACUUUAUAAUAAUAAGCAGUUAAAUGAACAAAAACAUAAAAACAUUCAAAAGACAUAUUUAUAAUUAUGAGCACCUACUUGUCAACCUUAAGUAGAAUCAUUAUUUUUUUUGUUUCUUUACCGUCCUUUCAGCUUUUUUCCAUUCUACUAAUUUCAAAAAGCUUCUCAAUGACAUCUGAUAAAUUAGAAAAAUAAAAUAUAAGAAUCAAUAUAAUAGAUACACAUAUUAAAAAUUAAAUUUUAAAAAUUAAUUAUUUGAUACAUAUAACAACUCUUACCUACUAAAUAUUUAUCAUCAGCGACUUUAGCAAAUAUUUCAUCAAAAGGAGUAAAUAUAAAUCCAUAUUUUGAUAUUGUCAAAACAUCUUCCACCUCACGUACAACUGUAGAAUAUUAAAAAUUAAUUUUAUAAGGAUGUUUAGUGGUCCUGUAGGAGCCACUGCUUUGCCCCACUCCAAAUUGGUUGAUCACAUAAACUUUUCCUUCCGUUAAAAAGCCUUUAAGUUUGUUCAAGAAAGCUCUUCUUACCGUUGUAUGCAUCGCAUCUCCCUAAAAUAGAAAAUAAACCAAUUAUAUAGUAUCUUUUACUAAAAACAAAACAAAUAAUAUUUCAGCAAAUAAAAGUUGUAUGGUCCUAAAAGUUAUAAGCACUCUCAAGUCAUCAUCUCCCAUUUGAUGUGCAUCAUAUAACACAAAAUAUAAAUAUGCCUUCAAUAUAAAUAUUGGUUUUCACCAAAUAUCACAACACAACAAGUUUACAUGCAUGCAGGGACUCAUGUUACAUGUAAAUUUUUCCCAAAAUAUUUGGAUCAUAUAUUUUGUUAGUGAAAAACUAAAUAAAAAUGAAAAACUAAGUAGCGAUAGUAGGAACUCAUGUUACAUGAAAACACAUGUUCAAUUUGAAAAUGACAGUUGUUCCUUACAUUUUGAUAAAAAAGAACCAACUCUAAGCUAUUCAUUACCUCUGGACGAUGAAAUUCAGGCACAAUAUACAAACAAAUCACUCUAACUUUGAUCUUCCAUUUGUUUCCAAGAGGUGUGAUGUCACUUAUAGAAUUAAACCCAGGUGCCAUAUUCUGAGAACAAUAAGACAUCCAGAAAAAAAAGUUAGUACUUAUUUCGUAUUUAAGUAAUAAAAUAAAAACAAUAUGUUCUAUUUUAAAGCAUCAAUAUCUAAGAAUUAAGAAAAACUACUCAAUAGAUACUUAACUAAAAUGUGCUGAAUAUUGUUAAAAUAUGGGACCUUUAGUAUAUAUAUAUACACACACACACAUAUUAAUCUGUGAAUAUUAGACUUUAACAUUAAAAUAAUUAGUCAAAAUAGUUUUAUUUCUCCAAACCUAACUGGAUCUGAAUAUAGAAAAUGUUUGAAAAAUGGUAACCUUUAGUAUACAAUAAAUUGAACAAAAUAAAAUGACAUGAAUGGUAACCUUUGAAAAAUGGGCAAAACAUUUAAUAGUAUUUUCUAAUAAAAUUCGGUGACUUCCACAUAUCAUUUCAUUUAUAGAAAUAAUUAGCUUUACUUGAAAAGUGAAUAAAAUUUGCAACCAUAAAACAACAGAUAUAAUUAUUGCAACAAAUCAGUUUCUAAGGCUCUAUUUAUGAUAGCAAAUUAAAAAUAUGAUAGUAUAUGAAUAUAAAGAGUUUGAUGUUAUAUUGAAAAUGAUAAGACUUUUAAAUAUUGAUAAUUUACCUUACAUAGCACCAAUUCUAUUUUUCCAAAUCUAACUGGAUCUGAAUAUAUAGAAUGUUUAAAUUGAAUAGAAUAAAAUGACAUGAAUGGUAACCUUUGAAAAAUGGGCAAAACAUUUAAUAGUGUUUCCUAAUAAAAUUAUGUGGUUCUCACGUAUCAUUUCAUUUCAUUUAUAGUAAUAACUAGCUUUUCACCCGUGCGAUGCACGGCUAAUAUAAUAAUAUAAAAUAAUAAAAGUUAUUACGUGAUGAUAAAAAAAAUAUUCUAAUUAAUAUUAUAUUUUUCUAACAAAUAAAAAAAUAUAUUAUCAAUCUUAAUUAUAGUACAUAUUAAAGUACAUAAGCUAGAGAAAAAAAAUUUUGGACCAAAAUAAAUACUCAAGUAAAAUGCAAAAUUCAACCCUGCUCUAUUAUCUAUGAAUUGGUGUGCAAAAUAAUUUACAUUUACAUAUUGGUGUGCAAAACAAAAUGAUAACUAAAAUUGAUAUGAAAAAUUACAAAUGACAUUAAUAUUUAAGUAUAUAAUGAGAUUAACUAAACUUUCAUAUUUGACACAAAUUAGAGUAAGCACACGUAUAUUAUUUCCCUACUGUCACUUUCAAAAAUAUAUAGAUGUUGGUGUUCAUAAUUAUAGGUGACUUUUAAAUAAAAUUUCCUUCAUUAUAGGUGAUUUUUAAUAAUAUAGUAAAAGAUAUUAUUUCCUUACAAAAUUUAAUUUUAUUUUGGAUAAUUAUAAGUGACUUUGAAAUGAAAUUCCUUUAAUUAUAGGUGGCCAAUUCUUUCUGAACGUAAUAUCCGUGAAUAUUAUUUUCAUAAAAAAAUCUAAUUUUAUUUUUCCUAAAGUAGUAAUAUCCGCACCCGCCAAUUCUUUCGUAACGUAAUAUCCGUGAAAUUCUCAAAUAUCUCAACAUAAUUAUAGGUGACUUUGAAAUAAAAUCUCCUUCAUUUUCAUAAAAAAAAUUUAAUUUUAUUUUUCCUAAAGUAUUAUUUCUUUGAAAAGUCUAAUUUUAUUUUUUCUAAAGUAGAAAAUCUAUAUUUGAACUUGACACGUAGAUUAUUUUUCCUAGAGUAGUAAUAUCCGCACCCGCCAAUUCUUUCGCAACAUAAUAUCAGUGAAUUUAUCAAAUAUCUCAACAUAAUUAUAGGUGACUUUUAAUAAUAUAGUAAAAGAUAUUAUUUUCUGAAAAAAUUUAAUUUUAUUUUUCCUACCUAAAGUAGUAAUAUCCGCACCCGCCCAUUCUUUCUCAUUGUAAUUUUAUUUUUCCUAAAGUAGUAAUAUCCGCACCCGCCAAUUCUUUUUCAACAUAAUAUCCGUGAAUAUUAUUUCCUUAAAAAAUUCUAAUUUUAUUUUUUCUAAAGUAGUAAUAUCCGCACAACAUAAUUAUAGGUAACUUUGAAAUAUUCUCUAAAGUAGAUAGGUGGCAAGCAUAUAGAGCGCCACGUGUCAGCUUCUCACAUAGAGUUUAUUAAGGAUUCUACUUUAGUAUAUAGUAAUAGAUAGAUUAGCUCUACUUGAAAAAAUAUAAUUAUUGCAACAAAUUAGUUUCCAAGUCUCUAUUUAUGAUAGCAAAUUAAAAAUCUGAUAAUAUAGAAAUGAAAAGAGUUUGAUAUUAUAUUGAAAAUGAUGAGAUUUUUAAAUGUUGAUAAUUUAUCUUGCGUAGCACCAAUUCUAUUUUUAAUUAUCUAUUUGCUAUAUAUGAGUUUGACACAUGUCAAGCAGUUAAGAAAACGCAUGUUAAUUUUUUACCAAGGGUUCUACUUUAGUAUAUAGUAAAUAGAUAUUUCGUUUGUGUUAGGACGAGGCUAUUUCAUAGACUCAGAGUAUGACUUGAAUUAAAUAAAACAGAGAGCCAUGCAAGACUCAAACGUAAGAUUUCCUGCUUUGUUGUAAUGUUAAAUGAUAUGAUUAUGUGAAACCAACUAUUCUCCACUUCUCAUGCCUAUCAAAAAUUAAUUCUCAAGCUUAGAAGUGGAAUAAUUAAACGAACGGUAUCUUAAUAUUUUAUUAUCAAUACUUUUCUUUGUGUCUAGGCUCAAGAAUUUUGAUAGGUUGAUUGUGUGAAAUAAUUAAAUAUGAUAAAAUUAAAUCUUAGAUAGAGAUGAUAUCAGUGAGAAUGAAUAAUACACUUCUUGAAUACUAGUGUAGUGGUCUGCGCGUUAUAACAGGUAGAUACUGAGGAAGUGAGAAUUCAAAAUAUAUAAUAUCGUACAAUAUUAUAAAAAAUAGAAGGGAUCAGAGACAUAUCCUUUUUAAAUUUAUUUAGUUGAUAUAAUAGAGUAACAUGAAUUUUAUAGUGAGUAGAUACUAUUGUAAAACUAAAAUACGUAAUCUAUUAAGUAAACAGAAAAUGAAAUAUAAGAAAAAAAAUAAUAUUUUUACUUGAUGUGUAAAUUCGGUUAAUAUUCAAACCACGGGUAGCUUUUAGGUUAGAAGAAACUGCGUUGCCUUCAUCGUUUGCAUUUGAAAUUGGACUCAGAUCGUCAGCAUAUUGGAACGUAGUCACGUAAAAUCACGGUAAAUAAUUUAAAUCGAUUAAUUAAUUAACUCAUUGAAACAAUUUCCUAAUCACCUGGAGUGCAGACUAAAUGCUGAGCCAACAUCCGCUAUAGAUAGGCCUAGCAAAUGGGCGUUUUGGAUAACCCGCGAGCGGUUAUUGUACCCGCGGGUUAUUUGGGCAUGGGUAAAAUUUAUCCGCAAAUUUUUGAAUAGCCAACAUCAUUAUUCAUACCCGCUCACGGGUGGGUGGGUGGGUGGGUAUGCGGGCUACCCGCAAUUUAUUUUUUUUUUUCUCAUAUAUUUUUUAAAUUCAAAAUACAUAUAGAUAAGUUUUAAAAAUAUAACAUAACUCAUUAUUUAAAAUAUCAUAACAUACAAUAAAAAUAUUUAUAGUCUUAGAGCUUAAAAAUUUCGUAAUAUAAAAAACAUAAUAAGAAAUUAGAGUUAGAAUUUUUAAAACUUAUCUAUAAAAAUUUAUAUUUUAAAUUCAAAAUACAUAUAGAUAAGUUUUAAAAAUAUAACAUAACUCAUUAUUUAAAAUAUCAUAACAUACAAUAAAAAUAUUUAUAGUCUUAGAGCUUAAAAAUUUCGUAAUAUAAAAAACAUAAUAAGAAAUUAGAGUUAGAAUUUUUAGAAUGGAUAAAUAAAAAUAUAUUUUUUAAUUAAGAAAAUAUAUUUUGUAAUUAAAAAUUAUAUGUGCGGGUAUCCGUUGGUACCCGCGGGUUAUCCAAAAUGCCCACAGCUUAAUGAGUACCCAUCCGUUUUGCCCGUAAUUUUUUGGAUUGGAAAAGUUGGUAUCCAUACCCGCAAAUUUGCGGGUAACCCGCAAGCACCCGCGGGUAUGGGUCGAGAUUGCCGGAUCUAACUAUAGAUUUGGCACAAUCUAGUCACAACAAGAUAAAAGUGUGUUUUUACUUACAGCAUCUUACGCGUUAUAAUUCAAUAUAUCUAGUUGUACCUUUUUCUCCUUUUCUGCACUAUUCUAUAUUAUCCCCUCAUUUAGUGAUAUUCGAUCGAGUAUCUUUUUAUUUUCAAAAAAUCUUAUAUUUUUACAAGUUUCAAAUUUAAAUAAAUUAAAUUUUUAUAGAGGCCGGUGUGACGGCUAUGACUUAAAUUGAGAGAAUUUGGAAGGCAACAAUUGAAAAGUUCGGAAAUUUGCUUUGUGGAAAUUUCAUGAACCAGAAAUUGUGCUUAAUAGUCAUGUUGAUUGUCCAUUCACGUGAAAGGAUCGAGUCGUUUGACAGAAAUUUUUAAAAAAAUUUAUAGUAGGGUACUAAAGUGAAAUUUAAUUUUUUUUUAUACGGGACUAAAGUGAAAUAUAUAAAUAGUUUAGGGACCAAAACUUUCAGUUACAUGUAAUGCAUGGAGAAUAUCGCUAUGCCAGAAACAAUGCACAAUUUUACGUAUAUCAGCAUAUAUAUUGUUUAUUCUGCUAGAUGCAUGAAUGUCUUAUUUAGCGUGCAUGUUUUAUUUGCUCAAAAAACUUGUAAUAUUUCUUAGAUGAAAAGUUUUAUCAAAUGUCUUGAAAAAAAAUACUAUACUUGAUCUUGAAAUAACUUUUUCAAAAAUAAAAUAAAUUACUUUAUAAGUGAAUAUAUUAUUCUAUCAAAGUAUAGUUAAAUGCCAAAAAUUUGUACGCGCAUAAAAAAUUGGGUAAACUUUAAAUAUCACCUCUGUGAUUUCGUACUUUUUCACUUUAGUACCAUGUGGUUUAAAGUGUAUCAAUUUAUUAUCCUGUGGCUUUUUUUUUUUCGUCAGCUUCUCAGUUAACAUUUCGUUAAAAUAUAUACAAAAAGAUUUAGGACCCCACACGUAGAUUUAUUGAAUAUUCACUUUAAUACCUUUUAGUUUUAACUUUGUCACUGAUUUAACGAAAAAAAAAUUAGUGGAGGGAAUCAUAAAAAGAGAAAAAUGAAACAACGAGAUACUAAAUUGAUACACUUUAAACUAUAUGGUAUUAAAAUAAAAAAAUAUAAACUACAAAAAUAAUAUUUGAUGUUUUUUCUAAAAAAUAAAACUAACUUUAAAUCACAAAAGAAAAUCUUUACAAUGAACAAGUUAUCACCGAUUAUUUUAUUCUAAACAUCUAGAGAGAGAGAGAGAGAGAGAGAGAGAGAGAGAGAGAGGGGCAUCGCGGACGAUGACGCACGAGGCAGCGGGAGGGAAGGAGAGAGUGAGUGAAAUGGAGAGAGGAAAUGAUAUUUGAAGAAAGUUAAUGUGGGCCACGAAUAACCCCGUGAAUAUUUAACACUCUUUAUAAAGAUCGCAAAUUAUCUAUCGACUUCGCGAAAGCAGUAAAUUAUUAGGGUAUUUGGCCUAACUUUUAAAAAGUGCUUUUUGUGUUGAAAAGUAAUUUUCGAUUCAAUAGAGCGUUUGGUAAUUUCAUUUUUAAAAUCUGAUUCUACCUUUCAGAAUCAGAAAACUGAUUUUGAAAGCCCAGCAUUAGAAGCAGAAAAAAAUUACUUUUUGAAAUCUGAUUCUGAUUUUGGACUCAAGCAUCAAAUUUUUAUUUUUUUUUUAAAUUUAAUGUUUAAAUUUAAAUUUAAAUUUAAAUUUAAAAUUUAAUUUUUAGAUUCAUUUUUGAAUUUUUAAAUUUUAACUUUUAAAUUUUAAAAUUUUAAAAAUAGAUUUCAAAUUUUAAAUUUUAAAUUUUAAAUUUUAAUUUUAAAUUUCAAAUCUCAAAAUUUAGAUUUUAAAUUUUCAAAUUUAAAUUUAAAAAUUUAAAAAUUUUAAAUUUUAAAUUUUAAAUUACAAGUUUUAAUCUUCAAAUUAUAAAUUUCAAAAUUUUAAAAUUAAAAUUUUUAAUUUUUAAAAUUUAAAUUUUAAAUAUUCAUAUUGUAAAUUUCAUAAUUAUUAAUGUAUAUUUAUAUUUUUAAAUAUUAAAAUUUUAUAUUUUAAAUUUCAUAGUUAUUUAUAUUUGUAAAUUUAUAUUUUAAAUUUUAAAUUUUAAAUUUCAAAUUUUAAAUUUUAAAUUUUUUAAAUUAAAAUAUCGAAUUUUAAAUUUUGUAUAAUUUUGAAAUUUAAAAAUUUUAAUUUUGAUUUUAAUUUAAAUUUAGAUUUUAAAUUAUUUUAAAAUAAAAUUUAAUAAAAAUAUUAAUUUACGCAAACGUCAAAAAAAAACUUUUAUCAAACCGCUUUUCAAAAUCACUUCAGAAAAAUCACUUUUAUCUAAACUUAGCCAAACACUCUGCAGUUUUUAACUAAAAUUACUUUUCAAAAUUAAAAUCACUUUUUCAUAAAUUAAUUUUUUAAAAUCUAGGCCAAACGGAUUCUUACUGUUUCAGUUAACAACGGUAAAUAAUUCAUCGCUUACUCGUACAACAACAUUAAAGAUAGUGAAUGAACUAUUUAUUGGGUAUAUUUCGCCCUUUUGACGCCACAUUGCAAGGCAAGAUUAUUUUUAAAAAUUAUUUUUAUAAAUAAUAAUAAAGCCCGAUCACAAGGCACUAAGUUUUUUCUGGCUUAAUUACAAGUGGGUAUCUGCGUGCGUUCAACGUGUUAUCGUUGUUUAGUGUGGCGCUUCCUCGGAGAGCAACGCGGCUGGGUCCCACUGCCUGCCGAUGCCCGCCACGUGUCACUGCCCAUACGGCGGAGGACGCUCUCAGGGGACAGGGAAAAGUAACAACAAAAGUGCAUGAAUCCCCUGCUACAAGGAUCGUACAAUAUCAUACUACUAGUACAUGUGGCGUCGUGCUAUUGGUGAACGUUUCUCACACAUACGAUGUGGCCAAUAAGAAAAUGCCACGUGUCGACGAAAGGCGAUCUAGUUUCAACGGCGUGCAAUGUAGGGGAUUUAGUGCCACAGAGGAACAGGACCCCACCCGCUAGCUAAUCCUCGUACGUAUAUGGCAAAAAGAAAAGAAAAAGACUAAAAGAAAAGAUUUUCUAUUAUUAUAGUAAAAAAAAAGGAUAUUGGCUUUAGCUACUGCUGUUGUUGGGAAAAGCCCUAGAUAGCUCUUCCUGCGCCCCUUGACUAAGUUGUUUUUUUUUCUCUCUGAUCUCUCUCUAGAGGAGAAUGGAUGUAUUAUUGGUAAGUAGUCUCUCUCCACUCCCUAACCUUCUUCACCAGCUUCUUGUUGGGUUCUGAGUAUCAAUCUUCUCUUCUAAGUUCUUUUGUUUUCUUGUUCUAGCUUUUGAGAUCUUGAUUAGAUCUGAGGAUAAGUAGAGAGAGAGAGAGAGAGAGAGAGAGAGAGAGAGAGGAAUGGGGAGAGGGAAGAUUGUGAUCCGCAAGAUCGACAACUUGACGAGCAGGCAGGUGACAUUCUCAAAGCGGCGCAACGGCCUUCUGAAGAAGGCGAAGGAGCUCUCUAUCCUCUGCGAUGCCGAGGUCGGCCUCAUCGUCUUCUCCAGCACCGGCCGCCUCCAUGAAUUUGCUAGCUCAAGGUAUCAGCACCCCCUCCCCCGGCCCUCUCUCCCACAUAUUUGAGUGCAAGAUUCAUAUGCUUGUUUAGGUAUUAUCAGCAUCAGACUAUAUAGUAAUAAUUAAAAAGAUAUUAAGAAUUAUAAUCACACAUUUUGGAUAGAACAAGCUAGAAUACCGACAUUUAUAUAAUAGUUUAGGCUGAUAUAUAUUAAGGGCGGUAAAGCAUGGAGAGAGAAACCAGAGAUUGAUGCAUGUACAUAUAUAUAUCUAUCUAUAUAGGGCCCCUAUCACAAGAGAUUGAUGCAGAAGGAUGGAGAGAAAACUAAUUAAUUUUCAUAGAAUGUAACAGGUAUAUGUAGACAGCCUAACAUGUUUGCCACUUAAACCUGUUAGUAAAAACAUGCAAAUCAGUAGAAGUACCAAGUUUAAUAUUUUUAAAAGUAAAACAAAAGGAACAAUAAAUUAACAACUCUAAAUUAUUUGUGCCUUCUUAAUUAACCUUCUGAGAAAGUGUCCUUGAUAUCAGUCUAUGAAUGAUUCAAUAUUCUCUAUCAGCAAAUAUCAUUUAUAUUAUUAGAUAAUGUGGUUAGGUUAUUAGAGAGUAAAUGGUUAGUACCACUUCUUCAUAAACCUAAACUAGUAGUUAAAUUUACUUGGGUAAACUUUAAUUAGUCCCCCUUGUCUCUCCAAAAAAAGAAAAAAAAAGAGAAAAAAAAGAGAGAAAAAAGAAGAAGAAGAAAGAAAAGAGAUUAGCCCUGAUCGACUCUUUUGUCUCAUUUGUACUUUGCCACUUUACUGUCUAGAAAGUUACACUGUGCUAUCCUGUAGGUUUAUUUUUAUUUUACCAUAAGGAUAUACCGUUAAAUAAAUUUGCAAAGUUCUAUAUCUUGUAAACAACGGGAUGUUAGAAAAGUGCUAUAAUUUACAUAUACCACAAUACCAAAAAUUGUAGUAUUUUAUCAUCCUAUAUAUGAUUUGUACUAUACCAUACUACAUAACUAUUACUCUAUUUAAUGGCCGUUUCUGACGAUGUAGCGCAAACAAAACUAUAGGAUAACAAAGUAAAGCGUACUCAAACUAACAAAGUGCAAAUCAGCUAUUAGUUUAUCAAGUUUACUUCACACAUAUAUAUUAGAAUCGAAGUACUUAUAAUCUAAAAAUAAUCAUGUUGCUUGUUGCUACCAGUGAUGGUGAUAGUUUGCUUUGCAUGUUACAACCUAGAAUCUUGAUUGUUCAUCACUGCGCUCAAAAUAAUUGAACUGAUGGAAGGGCUUAUGUUAGAUGGUUUUGAGAAAGAAAUCAAUAUCCUUAAAUGUGCAUUGCAUAGGUGGAGAAAACUAGGAAUGCCAUAGAGAGAAAUUGCAACACUUGUGUGAACAAGAUUAUGAAAUAGUAGAAAACAAAUGGUUUCGGACACAAUUAAUAAGAUGUCUUAACUAACAGAAAUACGAGUUUAUAAAAUGAACACUAGUUCAUCAUGUGAAAAGGUCAAUUAGUUCAGUACAUUUUCAUUAAUGGAAAAUUAAAAGAAUUUACUCUCUUGUUAUCAGGAUGAAGUCAAUAAUUGACCGCUACAACAAUACAAAGGGAGAGCAGCAUCAGGUGUUGAGCACAAUUUCUGAAGUUAAGGUAUGUAUACAUUAAUUUGUUUCCUGUAAGACUAUUAGCAUUAUAGCUAACAGAUAAAUAAGAAGAGUAAUACAUCUAUACUUUUUAUUUUUCAAUGCGCUUUACUCAUUCUUAUUUAUCUGUUCAAAUUUAAUUUUUGUUUAGUUGUAACCUGCAAUAACAGGUCACCUUGAGAGAGAUAUCGGUCAUCACGUACCCAAAAAAAAGAUAUUUUGGUCUUUUGAUUCUAGGAUAAUUAAGUAAUUUUAUCCCCACUAUAUUAUCUAAUCUAUUCUCUCUUUGUUUACUUUUUUUUUAAUUUCUCUAUCUUUCCUUUUAUUCACAUAUAUAUGUGAAGAGAAAUAAUUGUUUCGGGUUUGGAUUUUUGAGUUUGGGUUUGGGUAUCGAAUUUUUGGUGAGUUUUGGGUUUGGAUAUGGACUUUUGAAAUCCGUAGGGUUCGGAUAUAGAUUUUGGAAUAGACAGUUGGAUUUGGUUCAGGUUUUUGAAAAAUCUGAUCCAAAUCUAACCCGUUGACAUCACUAACCAUUGGUUCCUAACCAUUACCUGUUUUUUACCAAUAAUCUUAAGCUUUUUAAUUUGGCCAAUUUGCAUAAAAAAUCCAUUAGUUUUGAGCCUAUGCAGAAGUAGGCCGUCAUUUUGGAUUUUACAGAUUCUGGUCCGAUUUUCAGAAAACUGACCAAAAUACCCUUAUUCCCUUUUCUCUCUCCUUUUUUUUUCACUUGUUCUUUUUUUUCUUUCUCUCCGAAGGCGGAGGCGGAGAAGGAGACGGCCCGCCUCGCCUUUGUCCCGCAUGCCCUCGCCCUCGCCCUCGCCCAUGCACCCUCCCUCUAGCUUCCUCGCCCCGACCCCACCGAGGCGGCGCCUCGACCCACUUUUUUUUUUUUUUUUUUUUUUUUUCUCUCUCUCUCUCCAACCCCACUCAAUUGCCUCCCCGGCUCUUUACAACAGUAAAGAGAGUAACAUCACAUCCUCUUCCUCUCCUUUUUUCUCUCUCGUUCUUUCUUUUUUCUCUCCAACCCCCUUCUACCGCCUCCACGACCUUCCAUGAUGGUAACGAGCAUAGCACCACAUCCUCUUUCUCCGCCUUCGCCGGCGUAAGUACCGACGCCGGUGCCGGAGAAGGAGGACUCGGAGCAAGUGUGGGUGAGAGCGGAGUCGAGAAAAAAUAUGUAAAAAAUAAAAAAUAAAAAGAAUAAAGAAUAAAGCAUAAAGAAAAAUAGUUUUUUCUACAAGAAAAAUAAAGAAUCAGAGAGAAAAAAAGAAGAUAAUGAAUUUGCACUAUUUUAGGAUAAUGUUGCACUAUUUCAGAAAAACGUUGCACUGUUUUUGAAAAAAAUUAUCCUCUUUGAGAGAAAAAAUAUAAUUUUUUGGAUGAAAAUUGCAUUCUUUGAACGAAAAUUGCACUAUUUGGCCGAAAAUUGCACUAUUUUGUCAGGAAAAGGAGGAAGAGAAGGAGAAGAAAUAGUAUAAUUUUUGCCCAAAUAAAGUAUUUUUCGUUCAAAGAGUGCAACUUUCAUUUAAAAAAGUAUAUAUUUUUUUCUCAAAUAGUGUAAAUUUUCUCUAAAAUAGUGCAACGUUCCUCUAAAACAAUGCAACAUUCCUCUAAAAUAGUGCAAAUUCAUCAUUUUCUUCUUUUCUCUCUGGUUCUUCAUUUUUUUUUUAUAGGUAAAAUUAUUUUUCUUUAUAUUUUAUUCUUUAUCUUUUUAUUUUUUAUUUUCUAGCUCUUACCCACACUUGCUUUGAGUCCUUCUUCUCCAGCACCGGCGUCGGUGCCUGCAUUGGCGAAGGUGGAGGAAGAGAAUGCGGUGCUAUUUUCGUUACCAUCGUAGAGGGUCGCGGAGGCGGUAGAUGGGGUGGAGGGUCACGGAGCCGGUAGAUGGGGGUUGAAGAGGAAAAAAAAGAACGAGAGAAAAAAAAAGGAGAGGAAGAGAACGUGACACUGCCUUCUUUACUAUUGUAAAAAGUCAGGAAGGCGGUAGAGGAGAGUCGGAGAGAAAAAAAAAAAAGGAAAGUCGAGGUGCAGUCUCAGCGGGGUCGGAGACGAGGAAAGCAAAGAGAGAGUGCGCAGACGAGGGCGAGGGCGAGGGGAAAGGCGAGCGGGACAGAGGCCACGCAAGUUGCCUCUGCCUCCGCCUCCGCCGCCCUCUUCGGAGAGAAAGAAAAAAAGAACGAGAGAAAAAAAAAAAGAGGAGAGUGAAAAGGGAAUCGGCGUAUUUUAGUCAGUUUUCUGAAAAUUUGGCAUGAAUCUGCAAAAUCCAAAAAGGCACCUAUUUUUGCAAAAGCUCAAAACUAAUGGAUCUUUUAUGCAAAUUGGCCUUUUAAUUUUUACACUUAAAAUUAUGUUAAAAUGUUUAUUAUCUCUAAUGGUUAAAAUGUAAUUAUUUUUAAAACGUUUAUUAUCUCUAACGGUUCAAAAUUGCUCUUAAUCUUAUUCAGUUCAAAGGGUUGAACCAAACUGCUUGAUAGACUGGGCUACGGUCUGACCGGUAAAACCACUCGGUUCAAUCUGGUUUUUAAAUCAUUGAUACUAACAUAAUAUACUAUAUAAAUUAUUGAUAGUAAUCUUGAAGAAGAGAAUUCAAAUUCUUCUUAUUCAUUCAAUAAUGAAUUAUAAAGAUAUAUAUACAUAAAUGUUUCUAUAAUAAGAUAUUAAUCAUGACUUUCCAUAACACUCUCCCUCAAGUUGGAGCAUAGAUAUUAAUCAUGCCCAACUUGUUACAAAUAUAGUCAACCCGAGCUCCAUUCAAAGCUUUUGUAAAGAUAUCCCCCAACUGGUCUCCAAUCUUGAUACCCUGUUGAAAUGAUCUUCUGUUGUAUCUUUUCACGAAUAAAGUGACAAUCAAUCUCAAUGUGUUUAGUUCGCUCAUGAAAUACAGGAUUAGAAACAAUAUGGAGAGCAACUUGAUUAUCACACCAUAAUUUAAUGGGUUGUGGAUUAUUAAGACCAACCUCAUCCAAUAAUUGUUAUAUCCAUAUUACUUCACACACAGAUUGUGCCAUAGCCCUGUAUUCUGAUUCAGCACUAGAAUGGGAGAUAACACUCUACUUCUUACUUCUCCAUGACACCACGUUACCUCCAACAAAAACACAAUAUCCUGUAGUCGAUCUCCUAUCAACCUUUGAACUCGCCCAAUCUGCAUCUGAAAAGCAUUCAAUAUUUGAAUGUCCAUGGUUCUUGUAGAAGAUACCACGCCCUGGAGCUCCCUUCAGAUAACACAAAAUUUGUUCCAAAGCUUUCCAAUGAGUAACAGUCGGAGAAGACAUAAACUGACUUAACACACUAACGGAGUAUGCAAUAUCUGGUCGAGUCAUUGUAAGAUAGUUCAAUUUGCCAACUAAUCUUCUAUACCUCUUUGGAUCUUCAAACAAUUCAUCAUCAUUAGCUGUAAGUUGGAGAUUAGGAGCCAUUGGUGCACUGCAAGGUUUAGCUCCUAAUUUUUCUGUUUCUGCUAAUAAGUCAAGCACAUAUUUUCUUUGAGAUAAGAAGAUGCCUCUUUUACAUCUUGUAACUUCAAUACCCAAAAAAUACUUCAACAUCCCCAAGUCCUUUGUUUGAAAUUGGGUUUGAAGAAAAAGCUUGAGAGAUGAGAUUCCUGUAGUAUCAUUCCCAGUGAUGACAAUAGCAUCCACAUACACUACUAAUAGAAUUAUACCAGUCUCAAAAUGUCUAUAAAACAUAGAAUGAUCACACUUACUCUUCUUCAUGCAAAACUCCUGAACUACUUCACUGAAUCUGCCAAACCAAGCUCGAGGACUUUGCUUCAAGUCAUAUAAGGAUUUCCGAAGUCUACAAACUCGACCUAACUCCUCCUGAGCAACAAAAUCAGGUGGUUGCUUCAUAUAUACCUCUUCUUGAAGAUCACCAUGGAGAAAAGCAUUUUUAAUGUCCAGCUGGUGUAAAACCCAAUGAGAGGUCGUUGCCAACGAAAUAAAUAAGCGAAUAAAAGCAAGUUUAGCCACAGGAGAAAAAGUGUCGGAAUAAUCAACCCCAUAAGUUUGAGCAUAGCCUUUGGCAACAAGGCGGGCUUUUAGGCGAGCUACAGAAGCAUCUGGAUUCAUUUUCACAGUAAAUACCCAUUUGCAACCAAUAGCUCGCUUAUCGUAGGUAUGGGUACCAGUUCCCAAGUACCAUUAGCAUCUAAAGCCAUCAUUUCCUCUUCCAUUACAGCACACCAGCUAGGAUGAGACAAAUCUUCCACAACAAAUUUAGGAACAGAAACUGACUCAAGAGAGGUAAUGAAACAACGAGAAGAGGAUGACAAACAGUCAUAAGAAACAAAUGAUGAAAUAGGGUAAGUACACAUACGUUUGCCUUUGCGAAGAGCAAUGGGAAAAUCAGAGUCAGAAGCAAGGUCGGUAAUAGUAGUGACUAGAUCUUCCGACGAAGAAGCUGGUGGAGGAUCUGAGUCAGGAGUCGCCAAUCUCCUAGAAUAGACGUGAACAAUAGGGGGUCGAACAGGUGCCGAUGGAGCAGGAAUAAGUGUUGCAGGACUGGACACUUGUCUGAUAGUGUGAACAAGGAGAGCAUCUUCCUCCCCUAACUUUCAUAAAUAGAUAAAAGAGGAAAGAAUGGAGUAGAUUCAAAAAAUGUAACAUCUGCAGACACAAUAUAUCGAUCGAGAGUUGGAAAGAAGCACCGAUACCCCUUUCGCAUAUGAGAAUACCCAAGGAAGACGCACUUAAAGGACUUUGGAUCCAAUUUAGUUACCUGUGGACGAACAUCUCGCACAAAACACGUGCUACCAAAAAGACGAGGUUCAAUAAGAAAUAAAUAUUUAGAUGGAAACAAAAUAGUAUAAGGAAUAUCACCAUCCAAGACAGACGAAGGCAUGCGAUUAAUUAGAAAACAAGCUGUGGAAACUGCAUUAGCCCAAAAGUGUUUAGGAACUUUCAUUUGAAAAAGAAGGGCACGAGCUACCUCAAGGAGAUGUCGGUUUUUCUUUCAGCAACUCCAUUUUGGGAUGGAGUGUCAACACAUGAGGAUUGAUGAAGGAUGCCAUUCUGUGUCAUAUAACUGUGAAAAUUUUCUGAAAAAUAUUCUUUGGUAUUGUCACUUCGCAAUAUACGCACAAAAACAUUAAAUUGUGUUUUGAUUUCAGUACUUAAGGUACAAAAAAUUGAGAAUAGUUCUGAACGAUUUUUCAUUAAAUAUAACGGAGUAACACGAGAAUAAUCAUCCACAAAGAUAACAAAAUACUUAAAUCCUGAUUUGGAAAUAGUAGGACACAGACCCUAAAUAUCAGAAUGAACUAACUCAAAAGGGGACGAUGCCCGUUUAUUGACUCUAGACACAGAAGGUAAACGAUGAUGCUUAGCAAACUGACAUGACUCACACUCUAGACUGGACAAAAGUAGAAACUGCGAAAACAAUUUCUUCAAGGUGGAUAACGAAGGAUGUCCCAACCGACAAUGGACCUCAAAAAGAGUUAAAUUACUGGAGCAAGCAAGAGACCUUAGCACUUGGUUGUCAAGGAUAUAGAGACCUCCAGACUCAUGUCCUCUACCAAUAAUCUGUUUCGUCGUAAGAUCCUGAAACUAACAAUGAUCAGGAAAAAAUGAGACACAACAAUUUAAAGCCUGGGUGAGUUUACUAACAGAUAGUAAAUUGAAAGAAAAUUGGGGUAAACAUAAAACAAAUGACACAGAAAUUGAUGACAUUGGGUUUGCAAUGCCAGAAUCCAUGACACAAGAGGUAGAUCCAUCAGCUAAAGCAAUAGCAGAAAAUGUUAUAUGAGACUGAAAGGCAGAUAAUAGACUAGAGUUACCUGUCAUAUGGUCCGUAGCACCAGAAUCAAUGACCCAUUUGUAGUGGGAAGACACAAGGCAUAAUGUGGAUUUACCUGACUCGGCGAGUGCAGUGACAGAGGAACUGGUGGACUUUAAGGAUGCCUGAUAUGGGGAGAACUAUGCAAAUUUUUAAGCUGACACCAAAAUAGUUUUCUCUGAGAAUGGGAUUUCUCUGAGGAUGGGGUUGUAUGCUCCCCGGUUACCAUGUUGACUAUCUGAGAUCGUUGGUUCUUAUUUUGAAGUUUCAAACAUAAGCGCUUUGUAUGAUCAGGUUCAUGACAGUAAUAGCAAACAACUCCAAAAUCUCGAUUAGAGGCAAUCUCUCCAUAACAGUGAUUACCUCUAUUGGCAGUAAUCGCUCUAUUGCCCCCUUUACUAUUAUGUCGUCCAUUAUCAUUGCGACUCACAAGCGCGCUAUUAGUAGAUUGAGAAAAUUGAGGAAUCUCCGUACGAAGUACUCGUGUGAAAGUAUCAUGCAAAGUGGAUAUCACAGAGCUAGAAAGAAUUUGAGAUUUAGCUGUCUCAAAUUCUGGGGGUAAACCAGCAAGAAAACUCAUAACCGCUAUUUACUCGCGUUGAACCUGCUACACUUUUACAUCAGGACUAAAGGGUAACAAAACAUUAAGCUCUUCAUAAACACGUUUAAAGUCCAUAAAUAAGCUGUGAGAGACCUAUCUUGCUUCUCAGAUCGGUAAAAUACUUUACAAAUAUCAUAUAUGCGAGAGAGGUUCCUUUUGCCAGAGUAUAAAAAAAUCUAAAUAAUCUAUCAAUUCUUUCACAAACUCACAAUGUCACGCCCCGGAUUACACUUUCCCCGGGCACGCCGACAAAUCCGCCGUAUACAAAGGAAUUUCCCCUGUAUACGAAGCGAUAGCUGUACCUGUAAAUCAAACACUACUACAAACAGUAGUAGAGAGCUGCUAGAGAAAACUGAAGCUAAAUAAAACAGAGUUUCAUAUACAUAGUUCGGAUCCAAAAUACAGANAUAUUGCAGCAAGAAGGCUUCUCUCUCUCUCCCUACACGAAACUAUAUAGAGGGGAGUGAGGGAGAUACAAACGAGGCAAGGUAAAAAUACUAAAAAGCCCCUCACCUACUCUGGUGUACCGGUACACGGGAUCGCGUACCGGUACAGGAGCCAACCCGAGAGCAACCCGCGCGCGGCCCAGUGCAGUGUACCGGUACACCUUGAUGGCUGUACCGGUACGGCAAGCAGAAAAACUGCUAUUUGCAGAUUUUCUUCGCUGAAAGCUGCCCUCGCGUCGCACGGAGUCCGUUUUGCGUCUAUUUGGCGCCAACGCGACUCAGACCUGUCCCGACACUCUACAGAGCUGUCGACAAGCCUCCAGAGCUGAACACCAGGGAUCUCACACACAAUGAUUAAUAAGACUAAUUACCUCACUUUGAAUGGAGUUCCUUAGUUGUAAGAACAACCGAGCAUCUUCCCUCAGCCAAGCUUGCUUUGUAUCAUCGUUCGGUGGAUCGCUAGUUAGGUGAUCAUCCUUAUCAAUGCUUCGUAGAUAAACACGAAUUGUCUUGCCCCAUUCCAGAUAGUUGGAGCCAUUAAGUUUGUGUUCUGUGAUUUUGGUCAUUACCGGGAUUACAUCGGCAAUCACAGAUUUUGGCUCACUCUUAGCAGGCACAGUUUCAGACAUGGCGCCUUGGACAACGAGACCAAGUCACAAAGCAGCUCGCAGGGCUGCACUCUACACCUCGCUGCGAGGCAAAUAAAACAACCCUAGGUAUGUCACCUAAGGAUCAAAACAAAAACCAGAUGCACGAACCUUAAGUAGCACCGAUACUGUAGCGCCGAACUGUAGCAGUACUAUAGUGAUGUACUGUAGCAUUACUAUAGUACCAUACUGUAGCACCGUACUGUAGCGAUGACUGUAGUAGUACGUAGUGGUAGAGAAAAAAAAAAAAGAACGAGCAACGCUGAUGAGAUCCGGUGAGGGACAGCACUAGAUCGCUAUACCCUAGAAUUAGGGUUUUGCUCUGAUACCAUGAAGAAGAGAAUUUAAAUUCUUCUUAUUCAUUCAAUAAUGAAUUACAAAGAUAUAUAUACAUAAAUGUUUCUAUAAUAAGAUAUUAAUCAUGACUUUCCAUAACAAAUCCAAAACUUCUAUUUAUUGUUUAAAACUCGUCGAACUUGGCUGCAGUUUUGAGAUUGAUAGUUAGGUUCGUGUUCAUAUUUUUAAAAAUCUAGCUCUUAUUUGACCUGUUGACAUCACUAAUCAUUGGUUCCAAGCUACUACUUUUUUUUUACCACUAAUCUUAACUUUUUAAAUUUUUAGGGUAAUCUUCAAAUACCCCCCCUAUGGUUUCACACUUUCUCACUUUAGUACCCCGUGGUUUAAAGUGUAUCAAGUUAGCCUCUGUGGUUUCGCACGUUCUCACUUUAGUACCAUGUGGUUUAAAGUGUAUCAAGUUAGUACCCUAUAGUUUAAAGUGUAUCAAGUUAGUAUCCUAUGGUUACAACUUUUAAAAUUAAAAGUUGUAACACUUAACUCAGUACUAUUGUAGUUUUCUUACUAUUUCAUAAAUUGUGUAGUACAACUGAGUAAUUACUAAAAUAUUCACUUAAUCCUUAAAAAUGAUGAAAAAAAUUAACUAGUAAAUAGUUAAGGAUCUCUUUCAUUAACUUAUCUAAUUUGAAAGAAAAUAUAAGUUUCUUAUGCAUUCCCAAUAUUUUUAAGAAUAUAAUGUGUAUCUCAGAAAGUUUCUUAGCUGUACCAUAUAAUUUUAUGAGAUAGUGAUAAAAUUGUAAUAGUGAUAAGUACUACAGCUAUAUAUAUAUAUAUAUAGAUAGAGAGAGAGAGAGAGAGAGAGAGAGAGUUCGGCUGGAAUACUAUCGAUAGCACCAAGGAUUUGGUGCUAUCAAGUUUUCCACCACUAGAUUUAACCCUUUGAUUAUUUUUAUCCGUUAGAUUAUACUAUUCAACCAACCACUCACUCAACCCUAUGGGGCCCACAUCAUCCUACCCACACAUUUUUUAAUCCAAGGGCUAAAAAACUAAAAGCACCAAUUGCUUGGUGCUAUUGAUAGUAUUCUAGCCUAGUUCUCUCUCUCUCUCUUUCUCUCUCUCUCUCUCUCUCUCUCUCUCUCUCUCUCUCUAUAUAUAUAUAUAUAUAUAUAUAUAUAUAUAUAUAUAUAUAUAUAAAUAAAUGGGUAGUACGCUACAUGCUUUAUUCAUUGGAAAAAUGAACUUGGCUAUAAGCGUGAGGCAACAAGGCCUCAAGGAACAAGAAAAAAAUAAAAAGAGAACGAGUGCAAAAGAUAAAAAGUAGAAAAAAAGAGCCUCUUAGCGGCCACAAAAGUCUACCCACUGUCACCAUUGGGUCAAAGCAAUGAUAUAUAAAAAUUAGGCUAAAUUACAAAAAAACCCUCAUAUCAAAAUUCGAUUUUUCACUUUCUAUUCCUGUCAUUUAAAAACCUACAUUUUGCCCCCUAAAAAUUGAAAAAUGUUCACAGGGGGGUACGGUGUUAAUAAUAUUGAUAAAAUGAUCAAAAUGCCCUCUCCCUCUUCCCCACCUCCCUCAACCCUCCUUUAUCUGUAGAAGGGUAUUUUCGGUAUAAAAAUAUAUAAUAAUGGAUAUAGACGGAACCCUAACGGAACACUGACGGCGGGGUCCAAAGUGAAUAUUUAUUAUUUUUUAGGUGGGCAAAGUGUAGGUUUUUAAAUGAUAGGGAGGGAAAGUGAAAAAUCGGAUUUUGAUAGGGAAGUUUUUUGUAAUUUAGGCUAAAAAUUAUGUUGUUUCUCUCCUACUAUAUUAUCCACGACCAUAGAUUGGUGACGUAAUACUCAAUCUCUUCGCUACGUACAAACUGGGACUUCUUCUCCACCAUUAUCGUCCAACAAAUUCUUACAUCAUCAUUAACCCUUGAUUCUUAUGCCCCCUCUAGUAGUUUCACUAAUAAAAAUCUGUUGUACACACAUUUCAUGAAUAGAUGGUCAACUUUCUCGCACUCAACAGCACAAAAGACACAACACUAAUUCCCCAACCAUCCUCUCUUAAUUAAGUUAUCCACCAUGGGUAUUCUUUUCUUAAAGGCUAUCUACAAAAAUCUUCACUUUCAGUGGUAUUCUUAGUCUUCAAAUCAUCAAAGACUGAUUGUCUCUAAAACCCUCAUCGCUAAGCAUCUUAUUUGUACAUUGAAUUCACCAGUGUCAACCUGCCCCCGCGAAAGAGUAAUUUUAUUUGCCAGCCAUCUAGUCGCCUUUCAACUUUGUUAGUAAUCUCCAUCCAAUCCUCUUUCCUUAAUGUCCUACUUGAUAGAGGCAGGACCAUGUACUUAGUUGGGAACCUUCCAACCUUGAAGGCAAAAAUGUCCACCGGCUGCCUUGCCUUAUUUUCUCUACUAUCCAUGUAGAAUAUUUUUUACUUCGCUUUGUUAAUCUUGGCCCAAGAAACCUACUCAAAGAUAGAAGGUUUUUCCUAUACUUCCUUUUAGCCUUACAGAAAAAUAUCAUAUAGUCUGUGUACUAUAUGAAUGUUACCACACUAUCUUCUAUAAGUCCAAUCGCCUUAAGUAGAUUGGAUCUAGCUGCUCUUUUUUAUUAUUAUUAUGGCUAAGCAUUUUGCCACCAACACGAAAAGGAAGGGAAAUAGUGGAUCUCUUUGUUGCUCCCCUCGUUUCGUUUUAAUCCAUCUCAUAGCCUCUCCAUCGACCAUGAUAGCUGCCUUAGUAUAUAUUAUAAAUAUACUACUCUAUCCCCCCGUAUCAUUUCUCACCAAGCCCGACCAAUCCAUGAUUUUGAAACAAAUUUCGGUUGAUUUUAUCAUAUGCCUUCUCAAAGUCUACUUUCACCACAAUCCCUUCAUCAUUUCUUUACAUCCCCACAUAACAAAUUCAGUUGUUGUAAUAAAGAGUAUGAUAAGAGCCUCCCAUUUAAAAAAGCCGAUUGGAAGGGUGACAUAAUUCCUUGCAUAACUUCCUCCAGUUUGUUGAUGAGGACCUUAAAUUUUUUUUAUAUCUUGUUAAGUAAACUAAUAGGCCUAAAGUCAUUUGCUUGCUUAACUCCUAUUUUAGGAAUAAGACAAAUAUAGGAGUAGUUAAUAGGUCUUGUGAAUAGUUUUCCCUCAUACAGCUCUUGAAAGAUGUUACAAGUACCAUCCCUAAGUCCUUUCAAUGCUAUUUGAUGAUGGCGGCCUCUCUUUCGUCUUCCUCUGCCUACUACAUUAAUUUGCCGAUCUUUUAGUAUUGUUAUCUUGUUGAAAAGCAAUCACACCUCGCAUCUCCUCGUCUCUUCCAUUUGGUUGCCUAUCUCCAACCUACUCAUGGUUCUAGUCACCCCCGUCACUAGGCUUGCCUGGUGGUGGUGACAGGGGAGCACUAUGGUUGCUAUCUUUCCCCCUUUUGUAGCUAUCUAGAUGAACCAGGACAUUAAUACACUCAUAUCUAAGAACAAUUAAUGGACAAGUUUUGAGGGAUGUCCCUGUGGUUAUUGACUACCAAAUAACAUCCAAAUGCCCUCAGAUCCAUCUUGGUUUUACUUGUUUCAUCUGCUCACAGGGACUUUUUGAUGCUGCUAAUGAGCGCCACCCACCUAGCCACCAUCGAGCAUUCAAAUGCUAAUGAGCGCCACCCCCCUAGCCACCAUCUACUCGCAGGGACAUUUUGCCUUAUUAGGAUUUCCCCAUACACCCAUGCCAGAAGAAGAAUUAUAAAGUUUUGUUGUAAUACCCUAAGUCUUUGUUUGGUUGGAGGUUAAGGGGUGGAAUAACCACUUAACCCUCAUACUAUCUCUAAACACCUUCAAAAAUGGGUAGGGUUAGCUAAUCCCAUCUCAAAUGGGCUAUUCCGGAUUAACUAACCCCACCUAACCUCACGAAAUCCGAACCAAACAUUAUUUUCUAUUCAUAAUAACCCACUAUCCUUCUUAUCCUACCUACUCUAACCAAACACUAUUUUUCACUAUCUUGGACUAACUCCAACCCCCAACCAAACACAAAAAUACUCUAACCCCAGCUUAACCCUGAACUUAACCCUAUCCCUGGAAUAACUAGUUUUUUCUUAACCCCGAACCAAACGGUAGCUAAGAGUUCUAGAUUGGAUAAGGAAAGGGGUUCUGAUUAAGAAUAUAAGAGGCCAUACAGCAUAUUAGGUUUAAGCAUUUUAGGCCAAUGGUUAUUGUUGCUAGUGAGUUGGCUUGUUACAUUUGGUAUCAGAGACAGUUCAUCGGUUGGAAGUGUAAGGUAGGCCUUACAUCGCCUGGUAAUCUUGCAUUAUAUCUGUGAUUAGGCUGAGAAAGACAUUAGGGCUUAAACAGGAAAAGUUUGUGACACUCAUCCAUAUCGAAUUGGAACAGAGCUGUGAUUAGAAAUGUAAGGCACCACGGAGUCAUGAACCAUAGUGCUAACAGUUGGGCUUAAGUAUUUUGGAUCUGUGGUUUGGGUCCAACGAGUUAUUAUUGUUAGUAAAUCAGAUUGGUAUACCCGCUCUCUAUGUUUUGCAACAAAAAAAAUCAGCCGAUAUCUGCUAAAAUGACUAGCCAGAACAUUGGCAAUCAUUUGUAGUAGAGAGUAACCUAGAUUUGUCGAUUGCACCAUAUCUGUUAACAUCGCAUUUUGCUGUAGUUCCCUCUGCUUAAUACUACUCUGUAUAGGGUACAUAUGCUCUUGCAGCUAGAAUGCGUCCUCAUACACAGUGCACCCAUGUACAUUUUGGAGUUUCUCUAUCGAAGUCUCUCCUUGCACUAUUAAGCCCUAUGCCCCAUCCUUAGGCACCGGAGACAUAGGAUGGGAUCCUUGCACAUAGCCGCUAAAUGGUCUCUCACCAAACAGUGGAAGCACCUCCCAAUGAGCGAUUGUUUUAUCUCACCCUUAUCCUAACUUGCUCAAGUUCCAUUGUAUGGAUUGGCAGGUGCUUUCAUUACCAGCCUGGAGUAAUUCAGGAUGACCUCUGAUAGGAUUGGAAUGAUCUAGGAGGACCUCUUUAUAGGACUAGAAUGAUCUAGGAGGACUUUUGCUCGAGUAAGGAGGAGUAAUGGUAGGCAUAAUAUUGAGGUGAUUCCCUCACAAACUGAUAGCUAGAAAAUCUAAUUGUGUUGUUCUUUAUUUCUUGUAAAGCAUUAUCACCCUUUUUCACCCCUUUUCUUUACAAUAAAUAGGGCGGUUCCCUGCUUCAGCUCAUUCAAAGGACUAGUACGUGCAAGUUGCUCUUCAUAUGCCACCUAACUUAUCCACCUAAGCCACUCAUUUGAUCGCCGACGACUUCAUUUUCUAGUCCUCUCGUUUUUUCUCCCCCUUUUCAAUUCUAUUGUGGUUUCCUGUGUCUUCUCCCUUACAACCAUGAUGUCCGACGACUCGUCCAAGAAACAUUUGUCUCUAAUAUUGUUUCUCUAGGUUGGGCUCAAGCUUUGAUGGUAUCUUCGGUCCAUCAGUACUGCUCCUCACCGGUGGCUCAUGGCUUCCCUUUCGACCUUGCAGCGCCACCCAGGGUCCUUCACUGCUUUUGCCUUCUCUUUCUCACCGCUGACUCGUAGCUUCCUUCUGACCAUGUAGCGUCACCAGGGUCCUUUGAUGCCUCUUCCUCCUCCUCCUCGCUGAUGGCUCAUGUUUGUGUAAGAUAACUCUAAAUUCGUAGGGGGGGAAAUAAAUUUUUUUUUAAAAUAGGGGGUGAAGUGAAAAAAUAAAAAUUUACAAGGAGGUUUUCUAUAUUUUAGCUAUCAUUAAUGUAUCGGUAGAUGACUUAUGCAUAGAAUCUACAAUACAUUAAAGAAAGAUGAGGAACGGUCGUUUGUGGUAUGCUCACAUGCAAAGGAGAAAUAGAUACACCUCUUUAGGAAAGGCAUGGCAAGUCAAGAAAAUAAUGUCGAAAAGAUCUGGAGAAAAGCUAGAAAAAAUUCAAAUAAAGGUGAAAAUAAAAGAUUUAGAGAUAGCCAAGACCGCAAGUAAGGAUUUGUAUCUAGAUUCUUUUCUUCAAGUAAUUCAUACAAUAAAAGCACAUCUUGGGCUGAAUUAUGGGUGAGCAGAGGCACUUAAAUACUUAUUCCAUUUUUCUCUUUUUAAAGAAUCCAUCCCUUAGGAUACUUGAUUUGGCGGGCCUCUAAUGGUAACUGCAAUUAUAGACAACAGACCAAGUCCAAACUAACACAAAUUAUCCAGGUUUAAGUCAAUGUUCGAGUAAAAAAAAAAUGAAAUAAAAAAAUAAUAAAAAAAAAAAGAAAAAAAAGAGGGAAAAAUGUAAAAUUUGAAAAAAUAUCCCACUUCAAAAAAAAAAGGAAGGAAAGAAAAAAAAAUUUCAUACCUUAAUCAAGGUACCAUUCCUUUUCAAAAAAAUUUGAAUAGUUUUAAAAAAGGCACUAUAGCCAUUAGAGCUUAAAUAAGGAGGCCCCUGAAAAAAAAACAAGGCGGGCGGGCAUCAAAAAAAAAGAGGGAACCAAGAAAGGCAAAAAAAAAAAGAAAGAAGAAAAAAAAAGGCUGCGAAGAAAAAAAAAGCCUUUACUACUCUCCUCCUCUCCUCCUCUCGUCUCUCAUUCUCUCCUCUUCUCGUCUCUUGUGAUAACGGGCACCAAAGGGGAGCCCUUAUUGGUCUUGCUGGCAGAGGGCGGUGCCAUGUGCACCCCUCCUCCAAUCCGACACAGACACGAAUGCGAAUCGGCGACGACUCGACACGGCACGAACAACCGACACUUUCGACAAGGCCGAAGCACAAUAAUUCACAUACAACAAGGAGAUACGCAUGCGUACCAUAGCGUAGGUGUGAUAUUUUGUUGUUUGAUAAGACCCGACCAUCCUUCUGUAUAGGUUUCGAACGCUGGCAAAUCUAAACAUCAAAUAUCAUGAGUUCCGCCAUGCGAUUAUUGUAAUCUCCAAGCCGGUGCCGCAUCUUCGGAUAGGCUCGACAGUCAAAAUAUAAUGAUCGACAACUGGAGGUUUUAAUUACAUAGCGUGCGGCAUCUUCAGUAUGGCUCUGACAUGGGUAUAUCAAAAAAAAUCGUAGGGCAUCUAGCCGAUAGGCUCAGACACGGCUCAAAAUAAUGUCGAACCGGAGUUUUAUACGUAAGCAUUGCGGCUCAUCUUCUGUGAUAGGCUCGAUAUGGGUAUAAAAAAUCGUGGCGCAUCUCAAGCGUUGGCUCGACAAGAUAAACUCCGCAAAACCGACAAAAAAAUAACAUGAAGAAUGAUGAUAAUAAUGGACGGGUUUUGAUUCGUCAUAAAUUUCGAGACGAGAUUUUGACCAAAUAAACAAAAUACAAAAAUAAUAAUAAACAACACAAAGAAAACAAAAAAGAGAACAAAAAAGAAAUAAAAAAAAGGAAGUACCCUCCCUCUCUCUUCUCUCUCGUUUACAUACACACAGAGAGACGAGAGAAUUGGUUUUCCCCUCUCUGUCUUUCUCUGCCGCAAAAAAAAAAAAAAAAAAAAAAAAAAAAAAAAAACGAAAAAAAAAGAAGAAGAAAGAAUAGAAAAAAAGGAAAGAAAGAGAACUGAAAAAAAAAGAAAAAAAAAGAAAGAGAGUUGGGUUGCAACUCUUUUCACUCCCUCUCUGUCAGUGAAAAAAAAAAAAAGAAAGAAGAACAAAAAAAGAGAAGAAAAUCAGAAAAGAAAAAAAAAUCAAAAAAGAAGAGAGGAGUUGACCUCCCUCUCCCUCUGACGAUCAAAAAAAAAAAAAGGAAAAAAAGGAAACGAAAAAAAAAAGAAAAAAAAAAUAUAGAAAAAAAAACAAAUUGAAAAAAAGAGAAGAGUUGGACUCUCUCUCUGACAGUCAACAAAAAAAAAAAAAAAAUUAUUAUUCCCUCACUCUUAGUAAAAAAAAAGAGAGCAAAAAAAAAAAGAAAAAAAAAGAAAAAAAAAAAGAAAGGAAUAAAGGAAUUAAAUCGGAGUUAUUUAAUUCAAUGGGUUAAUCCAUUACGGGCCCAAUUUCAUAAGCAAUCAAAAAUAAUACAGAGCCCAUAUGCAAAUUCGGAUUCAAGGUCCAAAGCAUGUGAAGCCCAAGACUAAUCUCAGUCUACAUACAAAUUCGGGUCCAAGGCCCAAAACAUGUGGAGCCCGAAAUCCAGCCCAUGUGCAGAUAUAAAUCAAUAAAAGUCCAGCCCAUAUACAGGUUCGGGCCCAGAACAUGUAAAGCCCGCAGCAUACUUCAACCUACAUAUAGAUUCGGGUCCAAGGCCCAAAAUAGGCAAAGUCUGAAAUCCAUUUCAGCCCACAUUCAGAUUUGAACCCAAAGCCAAUAAAAACAUAUGAAUAAAAACCCAAACCCACAAAGUCCACAAAUAAAAACCCAAAAAUCCAAAAUCCACAAAGUCCACAAAUAAAGAUCCAAAACCCAAAGUCCACAAAGUCCACGAAUAAAGAUCCAAAACCGAAAGUUCACAAAUAAAAAUCCAAAAUCCAAAGUCUACAAAUAAAACCCAACCAAAUUUAUCAAACCUAUGUCACCCAAAUACCUCCAAUCCAAACCAAAUUCAUGGGUUUCCCAAAUGGGCCCCUCAUUAUGAAUUAAUUCUAUAAAUUAGUUUUUUGGGCUUUCCAAAUGUAUUCCCUAUCACGAAUUAAUUCUAUAAAUUAGUUUCAUGGGUUCUCUUUGCCAUAAAUUAAUAUUAUGAACCAAUGGGCUCUCCAAAUGGCCCCUAUCAUGAAUUAAUUUCAUCAAAUAACUUGGUGGACUUUACAAAUGGUCCCUACCAUGAAUUAAUUUCAUCAAAUAACUUGGUGGACUUUACAAAUGGUCCAUACCAUGAAUUAAUUUCAUCAAAUAACUUGGUGGACUUUACAAAUGGGCUCCUAGCAUUAUUUAAUUUCAUGAAUCAGUUUCAUGAAUACCUCGAUUUCAAUCGACCGAAAAGUCGUUAAACUAAACCCAAAUUCAAACGACCGAAAUGUCGCUAAACUAAACCCAUAUUCAAACGACCGAAAAGUCGUUAAACUAAACCCAAACCUGAAUGACCGAAAAGUCGUUAAACUAAACCCAAAUUCUUUAAACUAUAAACCAAAUCCAUACACCAAGUUCAUGAACCAUAUCCAAGUUCAUGAACCAAAUCCAUACACCGAGCCCAUGAACUAUAUCCAAGUUCAUGAAUCAAAUCCAUACACCAAACCCAUGAACCAUAUCCAAGUUCAUAAACCAAAUCCAUACACCAAACCCAUGAUCCAUAUCCAAGUUCAUGAACCAAAUCCAUAUGCCAAAUCCAUGAACCAUAUCCAAGUUCAUGAACCAAAUCCAUACACCGAAUUCAUGAACCAUAUCCAAGUUCAUGAACCAAAUCCAUAUACCAAAUCCAUGAACCAUAUCCAAGUUCAUGAACCAAGUUCAUACACCAAAUUCAUGAACCAUAUCCAAAUUCAUGAACCAAAUCUCAUGAGCCAAUACUCAAAUCUCAUGAACCAAUACCCAAAUCUCAUCGUGAACCUUUUUUUACUCUGGCACAUAUACCUAGAGUAAAAAUUAAAUAUCGACUACCCCUAAUACAUAUACUUAGGGCUAAGUCAAUCACCUUAGCACAUAUAACUAAGGCAAAAUAUCUCCAAAUCAACAGAGUUCUAAGUUAUAUACUUAGAAUUCAGUCAAAUGAUAUUCUGACUCUAAUAUAUAUACUUAGAGUUCAUCCGACUAACCCUAACACAUAUACUUAUGGUCUAGUCAGCCUUUUGCUCUAGCAUAUAUACCUAGAAUGGAAGUCAAACCAUGCCUGACUAACCCUAACACAUAUGCUUAGGGUCUAGUCAGUCUUUUACUCUAGCACAUAUACCUAGAGUGGAAGUCAAACCGUGCUCGACUAGUCCUAACCCAUAUACUUAGGGUCUAGUUAGCCUUUUGCUCUAGCACAUUACUUAGAGUGAAAAUCCUUACACCGAAUUCGAGUUAAAUCAGUUAUACUUAGUGUUCAAAUCAUACCCUUAAAUACAUGAUCUUAGGCACUUAGUGACCUUCAUUCUAGCACAUAUAACUAGAGUGAAACGUCGUAAUCUUCGGUACAUAUACUCUCGGGGAAUUAGCCACUCUCACUUCGGGAUAAUUCGACCACCAAUACAUAGUGAUUGGAGGUGUGGUCACAUCCUCACCUUGGAACUAACCAAGGUGAUAUAAUCGGACUCUAAGACAGGAUACUUAGAGCCAAUUGACUCUCAAUAAUAGAGAUUUAAUAUCGACUAGUCUAAAAGAUACUUAGGAUCUAGUUCGGAGCCAUCAAUAAUAUUACUUGAGUCUGGUCUACUUCUCACUGGAACAUAUACCAAGGUUGGAGCAUAUCAGACUCUAAGGAAAUUAUACUUAGAGCCAAUUGAUCGAGUACAUAGAGUCUACAUAGUUGACUAGGUUUUCUAACACAUCUACUAUAGACCUCACACCCGAGUCAAUUUCAAAUCCGACUUUUUCUAAUACUAAUAUACUUAGGAUUCAAUUUAUGCUAACAGAUGGGGGUAUGCCCCUGCUUAGCCAUGUUUAACUUGGCAAUCAUAUCAAUUAAAUUUUAUUUGCUCUGUUUGUGUCUCUUUUAUUUAUCAGCAUUUUAUAUUUGUUCUCUAAUCUGAGGGUUCUCCUUAACACCGAAUAGUGUGGGUAAUAAAGCAGAUUCUUGAGCUGUUGUAUAGCAUGAACCUAUAAUCUGUAUUCAAGUUAAAAAUAAACAAUUUAUCUUACCAUGAAUUACACUCGUCUUAGUAGGUUACAACUACGGGCGGGGGAACCGGUUCGUUCGCGCUGGCUGGACAGUCAAACUCAUUGAUUAAUCAUCCAACCACCAUAUCAAACAUAACAGAGAACUAAACCACAUAUGAAUCCUUCUUAUACUGUCUCUUGUUACAUGAUCACAUUUAGUUGGCUCCAUAUAGGUUUUGGUACAGAUAAUUAAAUGUCAAUGCAAGCUCUUUUCAAAGUCCUGUGGCGCAACUAUAAAAUUUCAUAACUAAUUUCUAUCAAUUAAUUUGUUUUUUGUAGAGUAAAACAUUCAACACAUUUGUAUUAAUUUCUGAUACUAAUGAAAAUCUUGCCCUGUAAACUGAACUCUUUGUUCUUCUUUCAACAGUUCUGGCAAAGGGAGGCAGCAAGCUUGAGGCAGCAAUUACAAGACUUGCACAAGAGUAAUAGGUACCAUUUCUGUACCUUGUAUUCCUUAAAUACACGCUUUUGAUCCAAUUGAAUCAUAAUCAAAGUCAACUUUCAUAUAAAAAGGUGUCGCAAUCUGAAAAAUCUUAUAAUCUGGAGUUAAUUACAACCAUUUGAAAGGCAUAGAUGUCUAUCCAAUGUUCCCAACAGCUCUAAUAUUCAAAGGCUAUGCGAAAAAUGCCAUCACAUGUUUUGCGAUUCAAUUGCUUGGAACCAUAUAAUCCUUUCUUUGAGCCUCUAACGUAGUAGGGCAGGGGUACGUAGUUCUAUAAACCCGCCUCUACACAACUACCUCUACCAGCGCCUUUUCUUGUAGUGAAAUUCCUCUCCUAAAUCAGUUGCUGCUAAAUCUCAUCUAGUCAUACUAUUCAGGUGAAUUACUAUUGAUCUUUCCAUUCGCAUCUCUGCAUUAAAAUCGGCAACAAUAUCUCAAAUAGUGCACCAUGAUUUUAUCUGUUUUCAGGUUAUUUCCACCUUAGAGGAAGCUUCAUUUAUCAUCUUUUUGCUCCAAGCAUCAAAUCAUUUACCUAGUUCAUAUCUCUACUAUACUAAUUUAAUUAACAUGCUUUUCUCUGGCUGUCAAAAUUGGUAUUUUAUGUAGUUUUCAAUUUUAGUUGCAAUUCUGAACAAAAUCUAUGAUCUCGUUAAUUCGAUAUUACUUCUAAUUUUCAUUAUUGCAUAUUCUAUGCGAUUCUAUGAGUAUGCAGACAUAUAUACUUCCCUAUCUCGUUAUUGUUGGUUAGCUAGCAAUUUCCUCGCGCACUCAUGAACCAGCGAACCCGAAAUUUUUUCCCUGCUAAUGGAUACAACAUGACAACAGAAAUUUCUCUCCUAAUCAUGAGAGUUCUACCGACCGUCCCUAGAGUAAGCGGCAAAAGGCUUGGUGGUCGGUACCCGAGGUCCCAAGUUCGAAUCCUAGUUGAUUCACAUUUUCAGCUGGGUUUAUUUCUAAAUGAAAUAAACGAAACGGAUAGUGUGCUAUCUAUCUCUCAAAAAAAUCAUAAGAGUUCUCAUUCCAGACCUAUCUUCAUGUAUAUAUGGUGGCAUGUAAAAUUAAAAAUGAUCCAAAUUGAAAUUUGCUUUUUUAAAUUAAAUUCUUGGAUAUAAAUAAUUUAAAAUUUUAUAGAAUUUAUGUGUUCAUGAUCUUUCCCAUGAGAAAAGAUAACACGAUGAGCCAGGAAAUGGAAAGGAUUUUAUUCCCUUAGGUAAGCAAAAUAGACCCGCGCCACGGGGCUGGCUCAAAAUACUUGGAGGGGCUCCUGGUCACUGUCCCGUCGCAUUACCAUUCCUAAGUACAGUAGGCAAAUGGUUUCCUAGAUAUUGUAGAAAAAUGAUGUAAAAAUAUAUUACCAAACACAAAAAAAACACCAUAGUCCACAAAUAAAUGAGUCACUCUAUAUCCAAAAUAGUUUUUGGAAACAUUAACUUUUCAUUGCAGGCGACUGAUCGGAGAAGAGCUAUCUGACUUAAGUGUCAAAGAUCUUCAAGGUUUAGAGAAGCGAGUUGAAAUGAGUUUGUGCUCUAUCAGAAAGACGAAGGUUCUCAAAACAAUGGUCAUUCUAGUAUAAAUAUGUUUUAUUUUAUUUUUUCUAAUUCUUUUGCAUUCCUUCAUCCACAAAAUUCAUCCUUUUAUGGUUACUUUUAGGAGAAAAUUUUACGAGAUGAAAUCGCAGAGCUCAACCGAAAGGUUCGUCAACAAAUAAAUGUUCAUUCUAUCAUAUUUACGUGGAAUAUUAAUGCAUGCAAUGUAAUAUAUUCGCGGGCGUAACACAAUUUCAAUUUACAUUGCAGGGUUAUCUAGUACAUAAUGAGAACAUUGAACUCCACAAGAAGGCGAACCUCGUAUAUCAGGAAAAUAUUGAAUUAAACAACAAGGUAAUGGGGAAAUAAAAAAAAAAAAAACCCAAAUUUUCAAUGUAAUAGUUAAGUUUCCAUACCUAAGCAGAGAAGUUUAUUAAUUAGCAGGUUCAGGAGGCAAGCGGAUCAAGUGGUGGAACCACCAAAGCUUCGAUUAUUCCGUUUGUUUUUACUGUAGCAGAAGAUGAAGAAGAACUCGUUCAUCUUCAGUUAUGCCAUCCCCAACAGCAAGGAGAUAGGACAUAAUCAAGAACUCUACGGCUGGAGCGAUUUCCUAAUAGUUUGAAAAAGGUCUUCUCUAUCACAGUUAUUUCACAUAAGAUUUGCGACAUCCAGUAAUAAGCUUCCACAUUAAUACCUCAUCCAGUAAUAAGCUUCCACAUUAAUACCUCUUAUUAGAUUUUUUUUUUUUUUUUUUUAUCAUCCUACAUGGCAUAAUAAGAUUGGUUUGAGGUAUAUUAUAUGUGUUGCAAGUGUCUUAUAUUAAAGAUCUUUUUCCUAACUUGUCCCACAUUUCAAUUUCAUUUUUAUGGUUUCAAUCAUAAGAAAUUGCAUUGCAAUCGUGUAUGUAUGUACUAUCUAAAAAUGGUGCCAUGUAAGCAACUUCAUUAUAAGUUGUGCUUAUUGAAAAUAGAUUUUUUUUUUUUUUUGAGAGAGAGAGGUAGCACUCUACCCGCUUCGUUUAUUUCAUUUAGAAAUAAACUUAGCUGGAUAUGUGAAGCAAUUAGGAUUCGAAUUAACUUGAGACCUCGGGUACCAAACACCUAGCCCUUUGCCGCUUGCUCUAGGGACGGUCGGUAAAAAAAUAGGUGUGAACCUUCGGAGACUGAAUUGAUAGAAUCGAACUUUUGAAUAUAAAAAUGGAAAUAGGAGUCAAAGUAUGGGAACUAAUUAGGGGUCGUUUGGAUUGUUGAACCGAUGAUUUGAUUGUAAAUAAAGUUUAUGGAGAAAAAAUUAACAGUUUUACUAUCCAUUAUGAAGGUACCAAAAAAAUGCGGUAGAUAUUCAUGCGCUUAAAUUCUUAAAAUAAAUACCUUCUGAAAUGAUUCCAAGUCAUCUUUUUGUGAAAAAAAACGAAAUUCUAGCCAUAGACUAGGACAAUGAAUCUCCUCGGCAUUACGCUAAUUUAUGGCGAGUCCAUCAUCAUUUUUUAUUUUUAUUAAACUUGAUUAUUCAAUGGAACUACAAUUAUGUGAAUCCAAAACCCCAUAAAUUAAAAUGGUUCAGUUCAAGCUCUAACUGAAAUACGUAUCAAGCUUCAGCUUAACUACUAUAUAUCUGGACGUCACGAAUAUGAAUACAGAACACGAGACACGACACGAUUUGGACAUAGUGACUCGGCAACUUUUAAAAAAUUAGGACAUGAACACGACAUGGAUAAUGCUAAUAAUAUAACAGACACGAAUACAGAACAUGAGACAACACGAUUCGAACAUGGCGACUCGACAACUUUUAAAAAACUAGGACACGAACACGAUAUGGAUACAUGAACACGACAUGUAUACUAUAUAUAUCUAGACGUCACGGAUACGAAUACAAAACACGAGACACGAUACAAUUCGGACAUAGCGACUUGGCAACUUUUCAAAAAUUAGGACACGAGCACGAUUUGGAUACUGCUAAUAAUAUAAUAAUAUAUUUUUAUUAUAUAUAAAAUAUUAGUUUUGUUAAAAUAUUUUUAUAUUUUCAUACGAAUAAAAGUAAUUAAUAAAAUUUUCAUUGAUAAUUUAUAUAUUUUAAGUAAAAAAAUUCUCAACUAUGUAUAAUUUAUUUAUUUUGUCAAAAAAAAACUUAUAUGUAUUCAUCAAAAAACCAAAAAUAUAUCUCAUCUAACUUCAUAUAUGCAUAACCGACCGUCCCUAGCGCAAGUGGCAAAAAGGCUUAGUAGUUGGUACCCGAGACCUAAAUUUGAAUCCUAGUUGAUUUACAUUUCCAGCCAAGUUUAUUUCUAAAUGAAAUAAACGAAGCGGGUAGCAUGCUACCUAUCUCUAAAAAAAAAAAACUUCAUAUAUGCAUAAAAAAAUAAAAAUAGAAAUAUUUUUUUAAUGGGAUGCGUUAUGAACCUAUUUCUAACGCGUGUUCAUGACGUGUCUCAGUGUCUGUGUCGAACAUGUUAGGAUUUGGUUAGAUUUGUAGAUUAAUUCUAGUUGGAUAAGAAUUAAUAUUUAAAUCUGUUGGAGAUAAAUUAAUAUUUAAAUAUUAAUUAGAGUAUGAUAAAUAUUUAAAUCUAUUAGAGAUAAAUGAUAUAUAGAUUUAAAUAUUUAUUGGAGUAGGAAUCCUAAUUAGACUAGGAUUCGCGUACGUUUUACAGGAUGCAUUGUAAAAGCACCCUUUGCGAUGCUUUUGGAGUAGAGAGUAUGGCCAAGUUGAGAUUCUUGAGGAGGGUACGAUGAGGUGUCUUGAAGCCAUUAGUGGACCCUACCAAAUAGAAACUUCGUCAUGAGUUGCAUGCACCUAGUGCACAAGUGCAUGUGAGAGAGAAAAAGGAGAGUUUGUCUUCUUUGUGGGUUUAUAGAAGACAAGAAAAGGGUAAGAGAGAUUCAAAAAGAGGGCUCGGGUUGUAACUACUCUAUGCAGAAAAGGAGUCAGGUGUAAUCUUCUCUUAUUUAAUGAAUCUUAUUUUACCCGCAAAUUUUCUAUUUUGGUUUUUCUCUCUUUUGUGAUCGUAUCAGCUUUUAAUUUGCUGAGAAAACGGGUUUAUGGUAAAAUCCAAUUCGACGCUUCCGUUGCGGAAUCCCAACAAUCGGUACCGGAUCCACAACAGUCGGUAUCGGAGUGGGUUGCGAAUUCUCAAAAUCCGAUAUCGAGGCGAGUACCGGAUUCCCAACAGAACACGCACGUCACUACAACAAAAACGGUCUAUAGCGACACUUUUAAAUGUAGAUACAUGUCAAAAAAGUACCGCUAGCUAAAAUUACCGACACUUUUAAAAAGUAUUGCUAUAUGUGGGGUUGCUAGGUAUAUAGUGACAGUUAAAGAGUGUCGCUAUAACCUAAAAAAGUGCUGUUAAUUUACCAACACUUAUUUAAGCAUUUAGCAACCGCCGAAACUCUAUCUCGUUCGCUGCGGUGGCGGAGGAGGACGACAGGAAAAGCUCUUCGUCUAGAAUUUCAGUGGAUUGAGUGAAGAGAGAAGAAAAGAUGGUAAUUGAUUUUUCUUUUUUUUUUUCUUUUCUGUUUGUAAUCGGGCCAAAUGGACUGGGUGUGGUGGGUUGAGUAGAGUAAUCUUUUAUUUUUGAUUGGAUUGAGCUUUAUAUUUAGGCAUUAGUAAAUAUUUUUUUAAGUUUUAACAUAAAUGGAACACUUACUCAAAAGUGUCCCAAACAUGUGUCCCUAUAACCUAAUUCUGUUGUAGUGUGUCCGGCAUGGACAUGCACGAAUUAUAGAAAUGUCCAUUAUACACAGUUGCAUAUUUAACCACUAGUUUAAUUAAUUUUUCUUACCUUCAGUAUUGCUGCAGACAUCAAUUGCAACUAAACAAAAAGGAUUUGUCACGAGAAGUGCUUUUGCAUCACCUCAAAUGCUGAGACAUUUAGGGUAUGUUUGUUUGGAUGAAAGUGGGGUGGAAGUGAAGAGAAUGAAAGUCGUUUUCACCGUAAACGAUAACUUUCGGCCCAAAAUUCUUAAACCCGGUUAUUAUUACUAGUUCAUAUCUGAUGUGGGAUUAUUGGGGUGUGACAGACUCCUCCCGUUAAGGCCCUGACGUCCUCGUCAGUCACGUCAGUCCAGUCACACACACAGCCGAAGAUCACCAGGCGAUGUGAGACUCGUCUCACUAGCCUUGUCAUCCAGACCUUGGCAUAGCCGGUUAUCUUAUCAUAAAGACUCCGGCAUAGCCUAUCACCUUGUCUUUCAGACCCUGGCUCAACCAAGACUCGCCACACAUUUCCAGCUGGUGAUUGGCUCUGAUACCAAAUGUAACGACUCAGCCCACUAGUAACAAUAGCUCGUUGGGCCCAACCACCGGGCCAAAAUGAUUAAGCACAGUUAUUAUUACUAGUAUUUAAGUCUCUUAUAUACCCAAUCAUAUCCCCAUUCAUAUCCGAUGUGGAAUUAUUAGGGUGUGACAGUUAUGAUCGAAACUCGAGUUAACCUAAAACGGCGUAAUUGACUUCGGCCCAUCGUGAGUUGAAAUCAAUUACGAUGAAGAGAUAUGAAGAAAAAAUAAUAAAAUAAUAUAUUAGAAAAAGAUAGUUAUAUUUAAUUAAAUAUAUUUAAUUAUGAUACUAAUUACUCUUUUAUUCAGUUGACAUAUUUAAAAUAUGAUAAAAAUUGAUUAGUUAAAUUUUAAUAUGUUCUUUAUUUAAUUUGUAUAAUUAAAAUAUGAUAAAAAUUAAUUAAUUAAUUAAUAAUCUUUUUUAACUUUAUAAUUUUAUUGUCGUAUUACUAUAAUUUAUGUAUAAAAAAUAAUAUAAUUAUUUUAAAUUAAAUUUUUGUCACGCCCCGGAUGUCUCGUUCCCCGGGCACGUCGACAAAUCCGCCGUAUACAAAAAAAAUUUUCCUGUAUACGAAGCGACAGCUGUACCUGUAAGUCAAACACUACUACGAACAGUAGUAGAGAGCUGCUAGAGAAAACAGAAGUUAAACAAACUGAGUUUCAUAUACAUAGUCCAAAUCCAAAAUACAGAGUUACUCGCACUGGCGAGUUAAGUCUACUAUGUACAUAAACUCGAAACAAAACAUCUACCUGCAGUACGGGUGCCUCUAGCUCUGCUCGUCGGGUAGGGCUGUAACUCGCAACGCCCUUGCCUCGAUCCUGAUCCGCGGAAGACGCAGCAGCCGAAACCUGUGGCUCUGCAAAACAAGAGUAACAACUGGGCGUGAGAACUACUACAAAACAAGUAGUCCUCAGUGGGUACCGCCCAAAACAACAUCGGUCACCCACUAAGUCUACAGAAGGGAGCAAGGAUAGUAGGAAAAGCAGGAAGUACACUCUACCGCUAUCAAUCACUACACUAUCAUGCUCUACGCUAACCAACUGUAGCAAAUGUCAAAUGACCCAAUUCAAUUCGGGACUGUAAGCAUA